UGUGGUGUGGUGGAUUGCCUUGCAGGCUGGGGAUGAACAAGUACAAGGGAAGAACAGCCUCCUGAGGAAAGGUGUUCUUGAGCUCGGUGAGCUUGUGUAGUGGCCUUGGUGGAAUGGAUCCAAUCCAAGAUGAGCCGAUCCCUUACUACGGUAGUGGCUAGUCCUAUUUAUAGAGGCCCUGGUCCUCUCCCCAAAUGUUUAGGCAGGAAGGGAUCCCACAACGGCCAGUUUGAAGGGGGCAGCUAGUACAAGCCAUCCUGACAAAAGGUGGUCUUCGCCUGCCAAAGGCUCUGGUGGUGACGCCGCCGUGGGCUCCAUGAUGACCUCUGUCUUGCCGUCCUGCUGGUCUUGGUAUCGUUGCACCUAUAUGGAAACCUUUGCUCGACGCCUCGGGACCCCUCGCUUGCGCCCGCCUCUUUAGCACCAAAGAGGAAACUGGCACUAUGUGCCCGCUAGCGCCCGCCUGGCCUUGGUCGUCAUGGCUCACGUCACAGAAACCUCACGAGGUGCUCCUCGCCUUGAUCUUUCCGCUCCUCGCGAGCCAGCCUAGUGAGGCUGCCCCUGAGGAGGUCUUGUGUCGUCCGCCUCGUGAGGCUUGGCCCCUCGCGAGGGUCUUGAGUGUUGGUUGAUGAAGAUGGGCCAUACCAGGCUGCUGGUGGAGCCAUGCCUUGGGCCGCAGGCAGGCAAGUCUGGGUUCCCCGUUCCCAGGAUGCCGACAACUACAUAGUUGAUGAUAUCUAUCCUCAGUGGUCAACUCUUGUGAAGAUAAUAUCCAAUCCGGUAGGAGAGAAGAGGCAAAGAUUUUCCCAAGCACAAGAGAGUGGUAGGAAGAAUGUGGAGUGUGCUUCAAUCUCUAUGGGCUAUCGUUCGACGCCCUGCUAGAACAUGGAGCACUAAGAAGCUGGGGGAGGUGAUGACUGCUUGUGUGAUCAUGCACAAUUUGAUCAUGGAGGCUGAGUGUUAUGAAGCAUGUUUGAUCAGCGAUUUCAAUUUUAGGGUGAAAAAGUUGUGCCUAAGCAUGGAGAAAUGGAAAUGUUUGAACAAUUCACCCAUUUCAUCAUGAAAUGCGUGAUUGGCAAACUCAUAUUCAACUCCAAAAUGACUUGGUUGAGCACAUGUGGACUCACCUUGACACUUAGUAGAUGUAUCGGUUCUUUUUUAUUUCAAUGUAUUUUUUAUAAUUUCUCGGCCGUCGAGCGUGAGGAAUGGAAGAUUAAAUCCAUCCCCUCGCACCAGAGGGCACGGAAACUGUGCACCCCCAUGAUUCUCCGCAAGCUUUCCUAGUUGGAGUCGAACGCCUUGGCAAAGUCAAGUUUUGGCACCAGGGUGGCGUUUUGCGGCUGUGGUAUCACUGCACCAUUUUUGUGACGUAAACAAAGUUCUUCGAGAUGCUUCGGCCAGAUUCUGCUUUGGGAGUUGGACAGGAUCACCCAUGUGCUCAAACUCCAAAUUGUGGUAAACCCCAUCAUGCUCAUCCUCCACAAUCAUGUUAUACAUGAUCACAUAAGAUGUCAUCGCCACCCACAAUUUCUUUGUGAAAGUGCAUUAUAUCGACUAGAGGGGGGUGAAUAGGCGACUUUUAUGAAAGUCUUCAAAACGUGGAAGUUAUGAAGACAAACAAUAGAAAUAAACCUAUUACCCUGCAGCGGAAGGUAGACUACACUAGGCAGGCCAUAGUCAAAUAUUCAAUAGAGUGAAAGCACAAUGACUAAUAGCAGCAAUGUAGUAAGGAUCAGGUAGGAAGAUAUUGUGAAGCCACACAGAACACGCAGUCACUCAGUGAAGACAAAAGAUAAAGCGAACAUACAAUGACUUCACAAGGAGUAACAGUAAGUAAAGGGAAGGGAAGAUGAAACCAGUGACUCGUUGAAGACAAUGAUUUGUUGGACCAGUUCCAGUUGCUGUGACAACUGUAUGUCUGGUUAGGGCGGCUAGGUAUUUAAACCUUAGGACACACAGUUUCGGACACCCAGUCCUGAACACGUAGCUCAGGACACCCAGUCCUCACCGUAUUCCCCUUGAGCUAAGGUCACACAGACCUCGCCCAAUCACUCUGGUAAGUCUUCAAGGUAGACUCCCAAACCUUCACAGACUUCGUUCACCGGCAAUCCACAAUGUCUCUUGGAUGCUCAGAACGCGACGCCUAACCGGCUGGAGGAUGCACAGUCCUCAAGUGUAAUAAGUCUUCAGAUCACACAGACAAGAAGACUUAAGUGAUGCCUAAUUCUCUUUGGCUCUGGAUGGUUAGGGCUUUAUCCUCACAAGGAAUUCUCUCUCAAAGGCUUCGAGGUGGGUCGCUCUCAAACGACAAAAGCCGUACUCUGAAUCUGAGCAGCCAACCGUUUAUGGUUGUAGGGGGUGGGCUAUUUAUAGCCACUUGGCAACCCGACCUGAUUUGUCCGAAAUGACCCUGGGUCACUAAGGAACUGACACGUGUUCCAACGGUCAGAUUUCAAACUCACACGGCAACUUUACUUGGGCUACAAGCAAAGUUGACUUGUCCGACUCUGGACAAGAUUCGCUCUCAAAGUCUUCACUCGAAGACAUAGGUUUUGGUUAGGCAUCACUUUAGUCAUUCUGACUGGUUCUCUUGGACCCCACUUAACAGUACGGUGGUUCCUAUGACUCAACACAGAAGAAAAGAGAACUACGAAAGAUCUAAGUCUUCGAGCUCCAUAGGCUUCAUGUGGUGUCUUCUCUUGUCAUAGUCUUCAAUGUGAAUAUCUUCAUAUACCACCUUUGACUUCAAUGUCUUCAUACAUUUUUAGGGGUCAUCUCUGGUAGGAAAACCGAAUCAAUGAGGGACUUCUACCUGUGUUAUCCUGCAAUUCUCACAAACACAUUAGUCCCUCAACUAGGUUUGUCGUCAAUACUCCAAAACCAACUAGGGGUGGCACUAGAUGCACUUACAAUCUCCCCCUUUUUGGUGAUUGAUGACAAACUAGUUGAAGUUUUCAACGGGGAAUAUAAUCUGUGAAAUUAUAAAGGAUAAGGAAUUGUCUUCAUAAGUUGCAAGGGCUCCCCCUGAAGAUGUGCAUAUAAGUAAUUUGCUUUUGGAAUGCAAAUGCACAUGGCAGGUUGUACUUGUGGAGAUCCACUUCAACUUAUGAUGACAACUUCAAGCCAAACAGAUCAGAGCCUGAUGCAGCAAGUUGGCGAAUGAAGAAGUCCUGUGCAUUGAAGCAUUUUCCAUGAAGAAUAUAGAAGACCAAAGUCUUCAUUGCACCUUCAAGCUUGGCAUAUGGAGAGUGUCCCUUGAUUGGCCAGAGAGUUCGCCUUAUGAUGUGAUAAAUAGUUCUUGGCAGAUACUCAAGGUCUUCAACGAAAAACUCCAUGGGAUAAGCAGCAUCUUGGGGCAAUGGCUUCAUCAUACUGAGCAUCUGACUCAUAUUAGGUUCAGUCUUCUGAAAGAUGCUCUCAAUAGCUUCACUAUGAAGCUGACAGCCAUGCUCGUAGAGAUCGCCAGGAGUGGGCAAACCAGUGAGCUCAAUGAUGUCAAAGGCUCUGGCUUCGUGAUGAACGUUUCCUGUCAUCCACUCCAGGACCCAAGUCUUUGGAUCUCUGCUAUACCCGCGGAUGUGAAGUGUGGCAUAGAAUUGGAGCAGCAACUCUUCAUUUCAAUGCUCUUGGUCAGUGACGAACGGCAGCAGUCCAACCUCUUUGAAGCAAUCCAGAGCUUCUUCCAGACAAGGCAGACCAGCUAUUGCUUCAAUGUCAAGGCGCUUGUGUGAGAAGAUGCGACCUUGGUUGUAAAGAACGCAUGAGUAAUAGCUUCGCUGCGGAUAACUCCAGAACCGAUCAGAUGAUAUUCUUUCCCUAGAGUAGGGGUUUCUGGAGCUAUUGAAGAAUGUGUUGUCUGCUCUGAAGCCAUUGAUAUUGAAGGAGCCAGGUGCUGAUGCAGGACCUGGGAACCUUGGCAAUCUUGGGAUUGGCUUCUGUACCUGAGGUCUGUGCUCAACAUGAUAGUCGAAUUGGGGACCGGCAGCAGAUGCAGGAACAGAAGCAGCGGGAUCAGUGGCUUCGCUGACUUCUGGUGCUUUUGUUGGUGAGGGCUCCACAUUUGCUUCAGCCAUGACAGCGUCAGUGGCUUCAUUGGUGGUGGUAGCAGCCGCAAGAUUUUCAAUCACGUUCUCCUCGAGAACUGCUUCUUGGUGGGACAGGGCAGUGGCAACUUGUGGGACUUCUUCUUCAUCGGCUGAUGCAGCCGGAAUGUCUUCAGCAGCUUUAGCUUCAGACUCAGAGACUAGAGGCCUUGGUCCUUUGUGAAGUCUGCGUAACGCUGGCGAUGCUUGUGGAGUUGGAGUUGGCUGGGCCUCAAAAUCAUCUUCCUCUUGUGGGCGAUCAGCCCAUGAAGCAUCCUGAGCGAUUGGCGUCAGAGGACGACCAAUGCUGAUGAGUUCGCUGUUAUCGAGCUGAGGAAGGACUGCACCAUCUUCUACAUGGUCAUGGUGACCAAUGUCUUCAGCAGUGAUGGGAUCAGCUGUCGGAAAGUCUUCAGCUUCAUGAGCCUCUGUGAAAGCAGGCUUAUGGAUUGUCAGUUGGCGUUCAGCGUCAGGACGAACCAUAGAAAUGGGUUCAACAAUCAAAGGCUCUGUGGGAGCAGCCCGAUCUUUCUUGGUCUUCCUCUUCUUCUUGGAGGGGGCAGUAGGAGAAGCUUCAGGAUGUUUCCUCUUCUUCUUGGAGGGGGCAGUAGGAGAAGCUUCAGGAUGUUUCCUCUUCCUGGCUUCAGCCUCAGCAGUCCUCGUCUUCUUGAGUUCUGAAGCGGUUGACCAGCUUUUUGGCUUCGAGCUAGUCAUUCUAGUUGGGAAGACAAUGGGAUCUGCUUCCUGCCUUGGUGCGUCAGGUUCAGCCGUAGCGGGCUUCUUCUGCUUCUUGGCAGCCAUCCUGGGGUCAAUGCCAGGACGCCCAAGGGCCUUGCGCUUCUCAGCCUCAUUAUAGGCUUGCACACAUCUGUCAGCCAGAACCUUCAUGCGCUCACGCGAACCCUGAGCUUCUACACGUUUCUUGAGAAAGGCUUCCUUGAGCUCGUGCAGCAUAAUCUUGAAGUUCUUCACCUCUUGCAUGCUGAGCUUGGCCAUAUGCUUCUUGAACUGAGCCUUUUCAUAGUCAAUCUUUUGCUUCAGUUCAACAAUGCGCUGGGCGAUAGCUAGCUCUGAAGCAAUGGCGCCUUGGAAGGCGACACUGAGGCCAAUGGGUGGUUGUAGAUCUUCAAAGCUGAUGUUUGGCGUGUCAAGCCACUCGUCAAUGAAGUUGCGGAUGAUGGUUACAUCAAAGAGAGGCAGAUCAUUGAAGAUUUCUGCUUCUUCUUUGCUCUUGAUGAGUUGCUCAAGAGCGUCAUCUGCAAGAUCUUCAUCACUUGACAGAUCAAUGGCAUCAUUGCGCAGAAUGGCAGCAGCUGUUAGCUCUUGGCCGGUGUGUGGCAGAGGCAUCUUGACCUUCUGGGGCUUGGAGAUGCGUGAUAAAUCUUCAGACUGCACACUGUCUUCAGGAGGUGCAGUUGCCAGUGGCUUCGCCCGUGAGAUUUUUGGUGAAGGGGCAGGCUUUGAAGCUUUAGGCUUCUUCAACUUCUUUGGCUUCGGCGCUGCAGGCGCUUCAUCUGAUUCAGCGUCAGUUGCAGGCUCAUUCACUGCAGUCCCUUGAACCAAGACAUGGGUGAUGAGGCCUUCAAGGUUGUAGAAAGGACCGACGACAUUGGGUUCUGCUUCGCGAGUUCCAUCGGCACGGGGAGCAGAGGGACCAGGGUUGAAAUCUAACCCCAAAGUCUUCUUGUUCUGCUUUGUUGAGUUCUGGGCAAACUGGAAGUUGCGCGUAAACAGAUUGUCAUCACGACACCGUAGUAGUGACGAUGGGUGUGCAUCAACAGGCUGUGGCCCACGGACCCUGCAGGGAUAGAAGCCUUGUUCAAUGGCUUCAUCUCUAGACCUGGGUUGAAGAUUCUUGUAUAGGAUGUCUCCCCACGGUCUCUUGAUGGCAUUUUUCUCAGCAUAUUCCUGGGUUACAAAUCGGUAUUUGAACCAUUGUUCUGCCCAAUAUCUUCGAAUCCAUUGGAUUCGGGUCUUGCGCCGAUUGUAAUCCUCUUCAGGAUCUGUCUUGUACAGUUCUGAGAGGUCAUCUGGCAGAUCUCUAGAUGUUUCUUCAUGAUGCUUUCUGCCACCCUUCCUUGCUGAUUUCUCUGAAGCCAUGAACUUUAAACUGAAAGGCUUCAACACGUGCAGAGGCUUCAAAGGUUUUCGCUUGCUGGACAAACAGGAACUGGCUUCGGGAGAAUUUAUGUGAUGCUGUAAGAGUUCUGUAAAUGAAUGCAGACUAUGAGAACCAAGGGAUUCUCCCAUGGACAUGUACCUGUGACAGCAUUAAGGUGCGAGGGAAGGGGAAGAGGUCAUAUGCAUUCUUAGAAGAUUUUGAAUAUAAAACAGUUUAGAAGAUAUUGACCUCAUCGUGCAAAGACAUUCACUCAUAGAUAAGGAGUUGGUUCCAGAUUUGUACGAAUCCAGAGAUCAGUACAACUGAGGAAUCUAACUACUUUGUGAAUCAUAAGUGAAUAUACUAGGCAUGUUAUGAGAUCCAGUAUGAGAGAGAUCUAACUUGUGUGAAUAGAAACUACUUGUGGUAGAAAGUGACAAAGCCAUAGGAUCAACGGUGCCGUAAAAAGGAAGUUUUAUUUACCACACUAAGAACUGCUAGACGGAGUGGAAGAUGAGGCCGAGCAGUUUGAUCUUCCGUGCCCUAACUUGGUGACGGAGGACACCUACGGCGACGGCAGAGAGGACGAUGUCCGCGGUCGGCGUGAAGACAGCGUCGGAGAGGUUGUGGCAGCGAAGCGCUUCGUCACCGGCGUCGUCGAGGGCUAGCGGUGGCGCUAGGGUUCGUGCGAGAGUGGAAGAAGAGAUAAUGACCGCUGUGAAGUGUGUAUUUAUAGGUACAGGGGCGGCACUGCGUUAUUACACAGGUGCCCCUGGCGAUUCGCAUAUGAGAAACACGUGGCCAUUAUGCGGAAUUUUGGGGUUUGUUCCACGUCCCACGCACGCCUGGAUUGUCAGGUGGUCAUUCCUACUUCUCCGGGUUUCAUGUGGAGGAAUGAGCAUUGAAACGGACUUAAAGGUUGUCUCUGUAUCUUCUGCUGACAAGGACGCAGAGAAGACAUUCGACAGUUUCAAUAGAAUGCAUAUGAUUUGGAGAGAUAGAAUUUGAGAUAGAAAGCAUAGAGAGGUUAGGGUCCGAUCACAUUCACUUAGUUCAAAAGAUUCAACAAGAAGACAUAGCUAUAAGUGAAUGCUGUAGAGGACAGAACACUAGUAUAUAUAUAUAAUCAACAUAGUGAAGAUAAUCAUGAAGACAUGUUGAGAUUGAAGCCAAACCAAAUGUGAAGACAUAGCAAGGUAACGCCAUGAGUGAAACACUUCAAAAUAGAACAUUUGGUGGUGGCGUUACCCACCGUAUAGGAAGUAUUAGACCCAGACACGGCGCACAAUUAUCAUGGCGCUCCGAAGUCAAAUUCCACAUUAAUGUAUUCACACUUAGAAUGUAUGUCUUCAUUGAUUGAAGAUAUACUUUACUUCGUGUGUUGCACAUCCAAGGCAUCAAUAUGCAUAAGGGUUAGGAUGUGUGCCUGAUCACAGGACAUUUGAGGAUUUCAGGAUAUUUAGCUCACACCGUAACUUGCAAAAUCUCUUCUCAUCCAAGGGCUUGGUGAAGAUAUCUGCCAAUUGCUCUUCAGUGUUGACAUGUAUGAUAUCAAUAUCUUCCUUCACAACAUGAUCUCUGAGAAAGUGAUGACGAAUUUCAAUGUGCUUUGUCUUCGAGUGCUGAACUGGGUUGUUGGCAAUCUUGAUGGCACUUUCGUUGUCGUAGUAGAGUGGCACUUGCUUCAGAUGAAUGCCAUAGUCUUUGAGCGUUUGCUUCAUCCACAGAAGCUGAGCGCAGCAAGAUCCAGCAGCAAUGUAUUCAGAUUUAGCAGUGGAGAGAGAUACACAGUUCUGCUUCUUUGAAGACCAACAUACAAGUGAUCGUCCCAGAAAGUGACAUGUGCCUGAUGUAGACUUGCGAUCAACUUUGUCACCAGCAUAAUCAGCAUCCGAGAAUCCAACCAGAUCAAACUCUGAGCCCUUUGGAUACCAUAAUCCUAGAGUUGGGGUGUGAGCCAAAUAUCGAAGAAUACGCUUCACAGCUAAGUGAUGCGACUCCUUUGGUGCCGCUUGAAAUCGAGCACACAUGCAAACACUAAGCAUAAUAUCUGGCCUAGAUGCACAUAGAUAAAGUAAAGAACCAAUCAUGGAGCGGUAUACCUUUUGAUCGAACUCUUUACCAUUGUCGUUAGGACCCAGAUGAUGCUUGGCUGGCAUUGGCGUCCUGAAGCCUUUGCAGUCUUGCAUACCGACCUUCUUCAGGCAAUCUUUGAGAUACUUCUCUUGAGAUAUGAAGAUGCCAUUGCGUUGCUGUCGUAUUUGAAGACCGAGAAAGAACUUCAGCUCUCCCAUCAUAGACAUUUGAUAUUGCUCUUGCAUCAUAUAUCCAAACUCUUCAUUGUACUUCUGAUUGGUGCAGCCGAAGAUAAUGGCAUCCACAUAUAUUUGGCACACAAACAGUUCACCAUCAUAUGUCUUCGUGAAGAGAGUGGGGUUGAGGGAACCAGGUAUGAAGCCUUUGCUCUUCAGGAAGUAUUUGAGUGUGUCAUACCAAGCCCGAGGGGCUUGUUUGAGGCCAUACAGUGCCUUGUUGAGCUUGUAUACCAUGUCAGGAUGUUUUGGAUCUUCAAAGCCAGGCGGUUGUGCAACAUACACUUCUUCUUCAAUCUUGCCAUUGAGAAAAGCACUCUUCACAUCCAUUUGAUAUAGAAGUAUGUUAUGAUGAUUUGCAUAGGCCAGCAGUAUGCGUAUGGCUUCAAGUCUAGCCACAGGAGUAAAUGUUUCAUCGAAGUCAAUUCCUUCCACUUGAUUAUAUCCUUGAGCAACGAGACGAGCUUUGUUUCUGACAACUUGACCAUGAUCAUCUUGCUUGUUGCGGUAUAUCCAUUUGGUGCCUAUUAUGUUGUGCUUCCGAGGAUCGGGACGCUUGACCAGUUCCCAUACAUUAUUCAGCUCAAACUGUUGAAGCUCGUCUUGCAUAGCUUGAAUCCAUUCAGGUUCCAUGAAGGCUUCUUCAACUUUCUUGGGUUCUGUUAUUGAGACAAAUGCGAAGUGCCCACAGAAAUUUGCUAGCUGAGUUGCCCUUGAACGAGUGAGUGGACCGGGUGCAUUGAUGCUAUCAAUUAUUCUUUCAAUCUGCACUUCAUUGGCAACACGAGGAUGUACAGGGUGAAGAUUUUGCUCUUGCUGAUCAUUAUCAUUGUUAGAAGGAAUGUCUUCAGGCUGAGCAUUGUCUUCAUGUUGAUCAGGUGCUGAGAUGAUAAGUUCUUCUUCAGGAUGAGCUUCAGAAGGUAUAAUUUCUCCAGUUCCCAUUAGCUUGAUUGAUUCACUGGAUGGAACUUCAUCUAGCACAUUUGGUAGUUGCUCUCUUUGUGAACUGUUGGUCUCAUCGAACCGCACAUCCACUGUUUCAACCACUUUGUAAUGAAAGAGAUUGAAGACUCUGUAGGAGUGCGAAUCCUUUCCAUAUCCAAGCAUAAAACCCUCAUGUGCUUUUGGCGCAAACUUUGAGGUGUGAUGUGGGUCCUUGAUCCAGCACCUGGCGCCAAAUACUCUGAAGUAACUGACAUUUGGCUUCUUGCCAGUAAGGAGCUCAUAAGAUGUCUUGUUCAGAAGCUUGUGAAGAUAAACACGAUUGAUUGUAUGGCAUGCGGUAUCAAUGGCUUCAGGCCAGAAUUUUCUUGGAGUCUUGUAUUCAUCUAGCAUCGUUCUGGCCAUCUCAAUGAGUGUUCUGUUCUUGCGUUCGACGACCCCAUUCUGCUAUGGUGUGUACGGGGCUGAGAAUUCAUGUGUGAUGCCCAAGGUAUCAAGAUAUGUAUCAAGGCCAGUGUUCUUGAAUUCAGUGCCAUUGUCACUUCUGAUAUGCUUUAUCUUGGCGCCAUAGUUGUUCAUUGCUCGAUUGGCGAAGCGUCUGAAGACAUCCUGCACUUCAGUCUUGUAAAGGAUUAUGUGCACCCAAGUAUAUCUAGAAUAAUCAUCAACAAUGACAAAGCCAUAGAGACAAGCAGUAGUAGUGAGAGUUGAGUAAUGAGUGGGACCGAAAAGAUCCAUGUGAAGCAGUUCGAAGGGUCGAGUAGUGGUCAUGAUUGUCUUCGAGGGAUGUUUGGCCCUCGUCAUCUUUCCCGCCUCACAGGCACCGCAUAAGUGAUCUUUCUUGAACUUGACGCCCUCGAUGCCUAUGACAUGCUUCUUCUUUGCUAGGGUGUGGAGGUUCCUCAUGCCAGCAUGCCCAAGCCUCCGAUGCCAGAGCCAGCAUUCUGAAGCUUUUGCUAGAAGACAUACGGCAAGCUAUGGUCCUGCUGAGAAAUCUACCACAUACAAAUCAUCUUUUCGAUACCCUUCAAAUACUAGAGACUUGUCAGAUUCCAUUAGAACAAGGUAACGAUAUUUUCCAAAUAUUACGAUCAUGUUUAAAUUGCAAAGCAUUGAGACAGACAUUAAGUUGAAGCCAAGGGAUUCAACAAGCAUGCCUUUAUCCAUGUGUUGAUCCCUUGAGAUUGCAACUCUACCUAGACCCAAUACCUUACUUUUACCAGUGUCAGCAAAUGUGAUGUGGCUCUUGUCGGAUGGACGUAAGGUUGAGUCCAUAAGAAGGCUUCUUUUGCCAGUCAUGUGAUUUGUACACCCACUAUCAAUAAUCCAUUCUGAAGACGCUGGUGUCGUACCCUACAGUGCAGUUAGGGGGAUAGGCUUCACCAAGAGCAUUGUGAAGCAAAAACAUUUGACGAACCAGUGGGUUAUGAAAGCUUAGAUCCAGAUUAGGACUAAUAGGGAGAGUAACAAGCGAUUCAGGAACGAAGUACAUAGUAAGACCAUUCGGGCAUUUGAUCUUGCGCCCUACAAGAUGUUUAAGGUCCCUAGCAAUAGCGUCAGACGAUUUUGGUUUUCUGUUGGAGACCUUUCCCUGCAAAAGAGAGUUAAGCUUUCUUAGCCACCCACACUUCAAGGGUGGCUUAGAAGCAAUAAGUCUAAGUGCAGCAUCUGAGAACUUUGGCUUUGGAGCCCUAGCAAAUAGUCUUGCAGGCGGGCAAUAGUACUCAUAAGAAUAAGCAGAAUAGUUCUUGGUCUUAUGAACAUGGCGGUUUGAUGAACCGCUCUCAUAUUCAUAUGCCUGAGUAUGGUUUCCCUGCAAAACAUUUGCGUUAGUGCGACUCAGGUGAGUCCUCUGUCUGUAUGAAGCCUUUGGACCGUAUGAAGCCUUUGGUCUGAGGUUUUUCUUCUUCACGUGAGGUGUCAUGAUGACAUUCACAGGAAGAUUCUCCAGACACCUUUUCGGAACCCAGAUUUUCUUCAUAAGCGGUCCAUUCCUGCAGUUAGUACCAAUGUACCUGGCAAACACUUCACCAUUCUGAUUCUUAAUCAGUUUAUAGUUUGCAUCAAGGGAUUCAUCAAUGAUAAUGGGGUUAGCACAAGUGAAGCCAGAUAGAUUGGAUGGAUCUACUGAAGGUCCCUUUGCAGCAACCCACGUGGUUUUGGGGUACUGCUCAGGUUUCCAGUAAGAGCCAUCGGCAUUCAUUUUCCUUACGAACCCAACACCCUCUUUCCUCGGGUUUCAGUUCAGAAUCUGCUUUUUGAGGACAUCACAUAGUGUCUGAUGCCCUUUAAGACUUUUGUACAUCCCUGUUUCAAGCAAUGUCUUCAACCUAGCAUUCGCAUCAGCAAUAGCAGUGGUAUCCUCAGCAGAGGGGUUAGUUACCACAUCAACAGUUGAAGAUAUUGCAACAGUAAUAGCAGUAGAACAUUCAGCAACAAAAAUAGCAUUAUCCUGCUCAAUGCAUUUAAGACAUGGUGGUUCAAAUCCUUCCUGAGCGGAACUGAUCUGUUUGGCGCGAAGUGACUCGUUUUCCUUUUGAAGAUCUUCAUGAGCCGCUCUCAAUUUCUCAAGAUCUUGCUUUCUUUGAAGAUAAUCAUAGGAAAGCUUUUCAUGAGUUGUUGAGAGAGUUUCAUGACGACUUUCAAGUUCCUGAUACUUAACGUGAAGAUUUUUUAUGUCUUCAAUUAAGGAUUCAGAUCGAGUCAUUUCAGCACCUAACAGAUCAUCGCUUCUGUCUAACAGUUUUUGAAUAUGUUCCAUAGCUUUCUGUUGUUCAGUUGCAAUUUUAGCAAGUGUUUUGUAGCUGGGUUUUGAACCACAAUCAGAGUCAUCGUCACUAGAUGUUUGAUAGUGACUAGUGCGUGUUUUUACCUUGGCACCGCGUGCCAUGAAGCAGUAGGUAGAAGCGGAGUAGUCCUUGUCAUUUGCAUCGGUGUCGGUGAUGAAGUCAUUGUCUUCAGUGUUGAAGAUGGACUUGGCAACGUAUGCUGUAGCCAGACUUGCGAUGCCUGAAUCGGACUCCUCCUUAGACUCCACCUCCGCCUCCUCAGAAGCGGACUCCUCCUCUGAAUCCAUUUCCUUGCCAACAAACGCACGUGCGUUGCCAGAUGAGCUCUUCUUGUGUGAUGAAGACUUUGAGGAAGACUUGGAAGAAGACUUUGAGUAUUUCUUCUUCUUCUUGUCGUCAGAGUCAUAUUCCUUGCUCUUCUUCUUCUUUUUGUUCUCAUUGUCCCACUAUGGACACUCAGAGAUGAAGUGGCCAGGUUUCUUGCACUUGUGACAUGUUUUCUUCUUGUAGUCAUGAGCAGAAGCUUCAUCAUUCCUUGAGCUUGAUCGGGAAGACUUUCUGAAACCUUUCUUCUUGGUGAAUUUUUGGAACUUCUUGACAAGCAUAGCAAGUUCCCUUCCAAUGUCUUCAGGAUCAUCAGAACUGUUGUCAAAUUCUUCUUCAGACGAGGAGACAGUUUUUGCCUUCAAGGCACGAGUUCGCCCAUAGUUUGGACCGUAGAUAUCUCUUUUCUCAAAAAGCUGAAACUCGUGUGUGUUGAGCCUCUCAAGUAUGUCAGACGGCUCGAGUGUCUUGAAAUCAGGAUGUUCUUGAAUCAUCAGGGCUAGGGUGUCAAACGAACUGUCAAGUGAUCUCAGUAGUGUCUUGACGACUUCAUGCUUGGUGAUCUCAGUAGCGCCGAGGGCUUGAAGCUCAUUUGUGAUGUCAGUGAGUCGGUCAAAUGUGAGCUGGACAUUCUCAUUGUCAUUUCGCUUGAAGCGGUUGAAGAGGUUGCGAAGGACACUGAUUCUCUGAUCUCUCUGGGUUGAGACGCCUUCAUUGACCUUGAAGAGCCAGUCCCAGACCAGCUUAGAUGUUUCCAAAGCACUCACACGGCCAUACUGUCCUUUGGUCAAAUGACCACAGAUGAUAUUCUUGGCAGUAGAGUCCAGUUGAAUGAACUUCUUAACAUCAGUAGCAGUGACACCUUCUCCAGCCUUGGGAACGCCAUUCAUGACGACAUACCAUAGGUCGACGUCAAUGGCUUCAAGAUGCAUGCGCAUCUUAUUCUUCCAGUAGGGAUAUUCAGUUCCAUCGAAGACGGGGCACGCAGCGGAGACUUUAAUUAUCCCUGCAGUCGACAUAGCUAAAACUCCAGGUGGUUAAACCGAAUCACACAGAACAAGGGAGCACCUUGCUCUAAUACCAAUUGAAAGUGCGUUAUAUCGACUAGAGGGGGGUGAAUAGGCGAUUUUUAUGAAAGUCUUCAAAACGUGGAAGUUAUGAAGACAAACAAUAGAAAUAAACCUAUUACCCUGCAGCGGAAGGUAGACUACACUAGGCAAGCCAUAGUCAAGUAUUCAAUAGAGUGAAAGCACAAUGACUAAUAGCAGCAAUGUAGUAAGGAUCAGGUAGGAAGAUAUUGUGAAGCCACACAGAACACGCAGUCACUCAGUGAAGACAAAAGAUAAAGCGAACAUACAAUGACUUCACAAGGAGUAACAGUAAGUAAAGGGAAGGGAAGAUGAAAGCAGUGACUCGCUGAAGACAAUGAUUUGUUGGACCAGUUCCAGUUGCUGUGACAACUGUACGUCUGGUUAGGGCGGCUAGGUAUUUAAAUCUUAGGGCACACAGUCCCGGACACCCAGUCCUGAACACGCAGCUCAGGACACCCAGUCCUCACCGUAUUCCCCUUGAGCUAAGGUCACACAGACCUCGCCCAAUCACUCUGGUAAGUCUUCAAGGUAGACUCCCAAACCUUCACAGACUUCGUUCACCGGCAAUCCACAAUGUCUCUUGGAUGCUCAGAACGCGACGUCUAACCGACUGGAGGAUGCACAGUCCUCAAGUGUAAUAAGUCUUCAGAUCACACAAACAAGAAGACUUAAGUGAUGCAUAAUUCUCUUUGGCUCUAGGUGGUUAGGGCUUUAUCCUCGCAAGGAAUUCUCUCUCAAAGGCUUCGAGGUGGGUUGCUCUCAAACGACAAAAGCCGUACUCUGAAUCUGAGCAGCCAACCGUUUAUGGUUGUAGGGGGUGGGCUAUUUAUAGCCACUUGGCAACCCGACCUGAUUUGUCCGAAAUGACCCUGGGUCACUAAGGAACUGACACAUGUUCCAAUGGUCAUAUUUCAAACUCACACGGCAACUUUACUUGGGCUACAAGCAAAGUUGACUUGUCCGACUCUGGACAAGAUUCGCUCUCAAAGUCUUCACUUGAAGACAUAGGUUUUGGUUAGGCAUCACUUUAGUCAUUCUGACUGGUUCUCUUGGACCCCACUUAAUAGUACGGUGGUUCCUAUGACUCAACACAGAAGAAAAGAGAACUACGAAAGAUCUAAGUCUUUGAGCUCCAUAGGCUUCAUGUGGUGUCUUCUCUUGUCAUGGUCUUCAAUGUGAAUAUCUUCAUAUACCACCUUUGACUUCAAUGUCUUCAUACAUUUUUAGGGGUCAUCUCUGGUAGGAAAACCGAAUCAAUGAGGGACUUCUACCUGUGUUAUCCUGCAAUUCUCGCAAACACAUUAGUCCCUCAACUAGGUUUGUCGUCAAUACUCCAAAACCAACUAGGGGUGGCACUAGAUGCACUUACACUUUGCACCCGAUAGUUUUUGCAGGUCCUCAAACAACUGCAAGAUGGGCUUGAAGCACUCCAAAUGCCCUCUCGAUAUCCUUCCUAGCUCCUUCUUGUCUUUGGGCAAAGUGAGAUCUUUUCUCACCCCUUGGCUCAGAGAUGGUCUUGAUGAAGGUCGCCCAUGGUGGAUAGAUAUCAUCACAACAAUAAAUAGCCCAUGUUGUAGUAAUGACCAUUGAUGGUAUAGUUGCAUGGAAGGGCUUCUCCCGCACACAUAUUUGCAAACAAUGGAGAUAACUGCAAGACAUUGAUGUCAUUGUGAGACCCAACCAUCCCAAAGAAAGAGUGCCAAAUUUUGGAGGUCUUUUGAUGGAACUACUUCAAGAAUGAUGGUGUGCUUCUUAUAAUGACCUUGAUAUUGCUCUUGGUGAGCAUACGGGAAAUUCUUUCAUUUCCGGUGCAUGAAUCCAGGGAUGUGAGAAUACAUGUCCAAACACCUUGACUACCAUAGUAACAAACCUGACCAUGGCUUUAAGGUGCGUGGUUUUGGACAUCUGUAUGUACUCGUUCCAUUACUCACGGACAUGCCAUAGGCAAGCAUCCUUAACACAGACGUGCACUUCUUGUAACCAGAGAAUCCAGUCGCUCCAACGACGUCUUCCUUCAAUAUGAAGUAGUCAUCAUAGUGUUGGAAAUAUGCCCUAGAGGCAAUAAUAAAUAUGUUAUUAUCUUUUUUACCCGUUCGUGAUAAAUAUUUGUUAUCCAUGCUAGAAUUAUAUUGACCGGCAACUCAGAUACAUGUGUGGAUACAUACACUACACCAUGUCCCUAGUGAGCUUACUAGACUAGCUCAUUGAUCAAAGAUGGUUAAGGUUUCCUAACCAUAGGCAUGAGUUGUCAUUUGAUAACGAGAUCACGUCAUUAGGAGAAUCAUGUGAUCAUUGGUGCGCGUCGGUCCUAAACAAACGGGUUUUUUACCCCUUUCCGUGAUGACAUUUGGAACAGUCGCCAAGUGAGUGUGUGCGAUAGAGUGUCCUUCCCACACGACCCAGAAAUCGUCGAGGAUAGGCCCUCCUGGUACCCAGGCUGGGGCUGUGUGUGAUCGGGCGAGGCAUCGAAACCCAAUCAUUUCUGUAGGUAUGUACAUCCCACACGGUAAUCCGAGAAAAUCAUUUUCGUAGGUAUGUACAUCCCACACGGUAAUCCGAGAAAAUCAUUUCCAUAGGUAUGUACAUCCCACACGGUGAAUCCCAGAAAAACAUUUCCAUUCAUAUGUAUGUCACACACAGUCAAUCCAAGGAAUACGUUUCCGUUAUUAUGUACAUCCCACACAGUCAAUCCAGGGAAAACAUUUCCGUUCGGAUGUACAUCCCACAUGGUUUUAUCUAUACGCUUGUGUGUGAAAGGUGUAACUAUCACACACGCUCUGCCUUGAUUAACAGUUUGCUUUCAUUAACUACAUCACACACGAUUUGAUGUAGAAAACUGUGUGGCAUUGGGCUAUCCAUCGCAAGCGCUUUUACUGCUAGAACCAUUUGCAAAGGUCCAUGACCGUCUGUUCUAUUUUUUUUUUCCUAUAAUUUAUUAUUCUAAUUGGAAAUUUUGAAAUACGAAACGUGCAAUUCAAAUUCUCAGCACAAUGGUUCAACAACGAAUCCAUAAAUAAAAUUUCCAGGACAAUAUGUUCAGUAAUUACACAAUUAGGUAGCAAUUAACUAUGAUGAACCGCAUUAUUUAAAGGCAGUAAAGGUGAAGAGACAAGUGUAAAUCAUUUUGACUGCCGACAGUGUUGAAGAAGCGAAAUGCCCAUAAUGUGCCUUCCUGCAUGCCAUAGGCACGAACCACUUUUGUCCAACCCCUUGUGAUGAUCGCCCGCCCAUCCUUCACUGCCUUCAGGAAGACUUCUAGAGCAUUAUCAUGGUAGCAUGAAUUAUAUACUUUAACCUUAGUUGCCUCCACUCCGGUCAUGUAGUUUGCAAGGUAAUCAUCAGUAAAUAGCUUCGGAAACCGCUGAAAAAAGAAAAAAAAUCAGAUAUUGAGGUCUAAUAGAGUAACUUGUUGUGGAUAGGGGGAAAAGGCAACACAUUACUUACCAUCCUAAAGUUCACUGUUGUCUUUGACAAAGUGUAAAUAAAGAGCUUAAUUCCAAUCACCCAUUUCUUUCGCCUAACAAUCUUUCUUAGUUUCCUCACUUGACGCUUGUUCAUGAAUAUCACAUUUCCCCAUACGCAAAAGUGAUCGAAGCGUGGAUCAGUACCCCUCAUAUAUGUACCUACAAGCAACCAGUAAAUGUUAGAAGUUAAACAGAGACUAUACAAGUGAUGUAAAAUACAACUACCUAUGUUCCUAAGUACAAGUAUUUUUUUUAGAUUCCAAUAUGAAUACAUACAGAUGUAUAUAGAAUUAUAGAUAUAGUUUAGAUUAUAAUCUAGAUUCACUCAUUUUGCUCCUUAAGUAGUCUAUAUUGGAAUCAAUAAAAAUACUUAUAUUUUGGAAUAGAUGGUGUAUAAGACAUGGGAUGCAGCUAACCUCGAUGGCAAACAACAAACAUCACCCAUUGUAGCCCUGUGUAAGUACAUGGAAAGCCAAUGUUAACUACAACAUGGUUAGCAUCCACCAAAAAUAGAAAAUGGUAAUAAAACGGCAGCAUCUCUAGUGAUAUCUUCAUUUCGAAAGAGUAGCACGGUACCAAAGGGACGGAUUAAAAAAUGGAUACAAGUGUUAAUUGCAACAGGCUUAACAACAUCCUAAUUCAUGUUUUGUAAGUUUGUAGCCAUUGAAAUACAACUCUUUAAAAAUGGAUACAACUGUUAAUUGCAAUAGGCUUAAUGGCCAUUGAAACCGGUACUGAUAAAAAUGCAAUUGGCAUAGUUAAACAUCACAAGCCAGGUGCUGCCAAAGCACAGAAUGGCCCAGAUGUCUAUAAAAAUGUAGGGAAAGUAGCAAAAAUGUGUUAGGCAUGUUUACUAGAACAUGCUUAAUACAUGUACAGAACAUAGCCAUUAAUAGGAACUGGUAUUGGUAAGAUUGAACUGGUGAGUAUAUACUUGGUAAGUCCUGAGAGGUAGUUGCUGGGGCACUUCAUCUUGGCCAGAGCUCGCCCAAAGUCAACGACGGUGGAGGCGAGCUGUUCCUAUGGGUCGAAGCGUGGAUCAGUGCCACUGACAUGUGUACCUACAGGCAACCAGUAAAUGGGUAGAAGUUAAACUGCAAUUGUACAAAUUAUGUGAAAUACUGUAAGACAUGGGAUGCAGCUCACCUCAACGACAAACAAAAGCAUCGACCGUUAUGACCCCGCGUAAGUACAUGGAUAGGCAUGUUAAGUGCAACAGGGUUAGCAUCCACUAAAAAUAGCAAAUGGGCAACAUCUCUAGUGAUAUCCUGAGUCAUGUAUUGUAAGUUUGUUGCUAGUAUUGGUGAAAUUGAGCUGGACAUGGUAAUAUUUGAACAUCACACAGUGUGUAGUACUAAAAUAAACAAGGCACGAACAUGCUUAAUACAUCAACCGUACAAAUCAUAGCCAUUGCAAGUGUGUAGGAUCGAAAGUAUGUCUAGAGGGGGGGUGAUUAGACUACUUGACAAAAUAAAAAUCUAGCCUUUUCUCAAUUUUAGUUCUUGGCAGAUUUUAGCUAUCUUAGUACAAGUCAAGCAAUCUCCACACAAUUCAAGCAAGCAUGCAAAAGAGUAUAUGAGCAGCGGAAAGUAAAGCAUGCAACUUGCAAGAAUGUAACGGGAAGGGUUUGGAGGAUUCAAACGCAAUUGGAGACACAAAUGUUUUUGUUGUGGUUCCGAUAGGUGGUGCUAUCGUACAUCCACGUUGAUGGAGACUUCAACCCACGGAGGGUAACGGUUGCGCGAGUCCACAGAGGGCUCCACCCACGAAGGGUCCACGAAGAAGCAACCUUGUCUAUUCCAUCACGGUCGUCGCCCACGAAGGACUUGCCUCACUAGCGGUAGAUCUUCACGAAGUAGGCGAUCUCCUUGCCCUUACAAACUCCUUGGUUCAACUCCACAAUCUUGUCGGAGGCUCCCAAGUGACACCUAGCCAAUCUAGGAGACACCACUCUCCAAGAAGUAACAAAUGGUGUGUUGAUGGUGAACUCCUUGCUCUUGUGCUUCAAAUGAUAGUCUCCCCAACACUCAACUCUCUCUCACAGGAUUUGGAUUUGGUGGAAAGAAGAGUAGAGUGGAAAGCAACUUGGGGAAGGCUAGAGAUCAAGAUUCAUAUGGUUGGAAUGGAAUAUCUUGACCUCAACACAAGUGUAGGUGGUUCUCUCUCAGAAAAUGUGUAUUGGAAGUGUAGGUAUGUUCUGAUGGCUCUCUCCACGAAUGAAGAGUGGGUGGAGGGGUAUAUAUAGUCUCCACACAAAAUCUAACCGUUACACACAAUUUUCCAAACUCGGUGGGACCGAAUGGUUAAUCUCGGUCAGACCGAUUCAGCAAACCUAGUGACCGUUAGGAUUUUCGGUGGGACUGAGAUGCAACUCGGUAGGACCGAUAUGGUUAGGGUUAGGGCAUAACGUAAUCUCGGUGUGACCGAUUACACAAACUCAGUAGGACCGAUUUUGGUAAUAAGCUAACCAGAGAGUUGGUCAGGUAAACUUGGUGGGACCGAUUCGCUCAUCUCGGUGAGACCGAAGUGUUACAAAAGGGAAACAGAGAGUUUACAUUGCAAUCUCGGUGGGACCGAUCGCUCAUCUCAGUAAGACCGAAACAUUACGAAGGGAAACAGAGAGAUUACAAUCCCAUCUCGGUGAGAUCGAGAUCCCUAUCGGUGAGACCGAUUUGCCUAGGGUUUGUGGCAGUGGCUAUGACAUUUGAAACUCAGUGGCGCUGGAUAGAAAGAAUCGGUGGGGCCGAGUUUGACUUUUGGUUUAGGUCAUAUGUGGGUGUGGGAAGGUAGUUGAGGGUUUUGGAGCAUAUCACUAAGCAUUUUGAGCAAGCAAGCCAUUAAGCAACACCUCAUCCCUCCUUCAUAGUAUUGGCUUUUCCUAUAGACUCAAUGUGAUCUUGGAUCACUAAAAUAUAAAAUGUAGAGUCUUGAGCUUCAAGCUUGAGCCAAACUUUUUGUCCUUAGAAUUUUGAGGGAUCCACUUUCCUCAUCCAUGCCAUGCCAUUCAUUGAGCUUUUCCUGAAAUAUUAAUCUUGGAAUAAUGUUAGCUCAAUGAGCUAUAUGUUGUUAGGAAUUACCAAAACCACCCAGGAUAGUUGCACUUUCAAUCUCCCCUUUUUUGGUAAUUGAUGACAACAUAUAGAUCAAAGCUUCGACAAAUGAUAAUAAGAGUGAAAGAUAUUGUCACUUUGAGAGGUAUGUGAAAAGCAAGAGCUCCCCCUAAAUUUGUGCAUAUCUUAAGAUUUGCUUUGGACUGCAAAUGCACAAUGAGUUCGGAUCAUGGGUUACUCUUCCAUGUCACAUACAUCUUGGUGGAGCGCUUAAAAUAAUAAAGAUUGAAUGCAUGCACUCAUCACCAAGCAAAGUGAAUGAUCAUAUAAGGAUAAGUAAGAUAAUAUCAUCUAACAAGCAUAAGUGUAGCUUAUGAUCAACCACAUGAUCAUCAAUGUCUCACAGAUAAUAGCAUAGUAUCUCAAGCAAUCAAAAAAAAACAAAGUUCAACCAAGAAGACAAGAGAGAACAAAAGCAAACUCUCUCUCUCUCUCUCGAAGCCUAUGAUCUAUACAUUUUUCUCCCCCUUUGGCAACAAGUUACCAAAAAGUUCAUAGAAAAUGCAUAGCACUAAAACGUCUCUCAGGCUUGGUCUUCUUGACCCUUUCCUUCCUUUUCUUCCCUUCUGCAGCAGCCUCUUUGGGUUCAGAUCCCAAAGGGACUUGAGUAGAUGCUCUGGCCUUAGACAUUGGAAUUCUCUUUGCAGGAACCUUUUGCUUCAUGCCUGGCUUGGUGGCAGCAGCAGUGCUAUAUUCCUUCUUAACCACUUUCUUCUUGGAAGUGGCCUCAUCCUCAACUGCCACAUAGUCUUCAUCCUCAGACUCUGAAGUUUUCUUCUUCCUUGUUCUGGUGGCAGCUUUGGGCAAGUUGCUGGGAGUGCUCGUGCUACCAUCAUCUGAACUGCUAGAGGGACUAGUGCCCUCACUCAGGUGAACCUGCUCCUCUGACCUGUUCUGGCUGUCACUCUGAUCAGACAUAUUGCAAACACUGACAACAGACCCUGUAAAUAGAUAUAGAUGAGAUAGAGUGGAUGAGCAUCACAAAAUGCAGAGGUUUUUGCAAAAGAAUGAGUCAAAAACUUAGUUUUAGUUUUCCAUAGAAAGCAUUUCGGAUCAACCGAUUUGUAAACUCGGUGAUACCGAAGCAGCUGUUGGAACCUAAACUAGUGAACUCGGUUAGACCGAGUCACAGUUCGGUUGCACCGAGACUGCUAGGGUUUCACAAAGUCCUGAACUCGGUCACAUCGGUUUGCAAUUCUCGGUCAGACCGAAAAUUACAUGUGCAAUGGCCUAGCCGAAUCGGUGGUACCGAGUUCCACAACUCGGAUGGUCCGAGAUGGUUUCGGCGGAAACCUAACCCUAAAUUUUCAAUUCAACUCUAAUCUAUGGAGUGUUUUGACUGGAUAAGAUCGUUUCAAUCGUGGUAAGAAUCAUAGUGAACAUAAUGUGAUAGGAAUCGGAUUGAGGAUAGCACAGUGAUCAAGUUCAUACCCUAGUUCGGCGAUGAACUUGCUACGGCGGCAACGGCGGGGAAGAAUUCCGUUGACGGCGGCGGGGACCAGCGGCGGGAGGCAACUGGCGACGAGGAGGACGAUCCGGAGUCCCAGGAGGCAGAGUGAGCUAUGCGCGGGCGAAGGGGUUUCGGAGAAAUUUCCAAAAUUUUGCCCGUGGAUAUAUAUAGCUCGACCCUGUCGGUGUGACCGAGUGGGACAACUCGGUGGCACCGAGAUUCAUAACUGCAAGCAGUUACUGAAACUCGGUGUGACCGAAAGGUUCAAAUUGGUUGCACCGAGAUUGAAAACCUAGAUCGACUUAGUGAUCUCGGUAUGACCGAAAUGGAUGAAUCAGUCAGACCGAAACGCACAAAGAAGUUUUGGAAGUUUAAGUCUAUGACGAAUCGGGGACUCCGAGUGCUCCUCACACAGAGUGGUUCGAAUCUGACUUGAUCAAAUUUUGUGAUGUAGCAUGAAUAGAGUUUAAGACGAGAAAAGCAUAGAUAGCUAGAGAGGGUUCUUAGGCAUUCUUGUCCAUCCACUUGGCAAAAGAAAAGAAAACCAAUCAAUCAAAACAACAAGUGGAUGUCCUCAAAUGAGUAAAAUAUGCAAUCAACAUGCUCACACAAUAAAAUGGCAAUUGAAAUAUGUGGCAAAGCAUGCACAACCAAUUCUAGGAUCUAUCAAACAAUUUGCGAUGACUAGGUCAUCUAUAUAUGAGUAUAUUGACUUAGGAGUCAAAUGAGAACAUUUGAUCAUAGGUCAUACUCAUCGUUUAAGCACAAGUGGGAUUACCACUUUUACAUAAAGCAUUGUUGUGUUCACACCAUUAGAGUUGCUUUACCUCAAUUCUUAGAGUAAAGCUCCCCCUAGAUGUGAGAUCCCCCCUAAGAGGGAUGAACUGACCUUGGGUUUUGUCGAUGAUGACUUCAUGUAGAUGUUGAAGAUGUGGAUGCUCAAUGUUGAUGUAGAUCAUUUCGAGCUAUCCAUUGGAGUGAGUUGCACUUUCAAUACCUACACGGGUUAGUCCCACAAGGAACAAACAAGGAUAUCCAUAGACAUAAAGUGAUGCACACACAAGAUGAUGUCUAUGAAAGCUUUUAGGUUACCUUGUCCCUUGUCUUACCAACGAGAGGGUUUGUGACUCCUUGAACUAGUGCAAGAUGUGGAAGUUGAUUGCACUUGUUCUUGCCAAGAUGAUAAGAGUGAAGUAUGUUGGCGGAGUCACCCUCAAGAACUCUCUAGUUCUUCUUCUUUGGGAUCCACACCAUCUUGAUGGGAAUCCUCGGUGUUGUAGUUGUACUUGAUAAAGUGGAACUUGAAGUAGUCUUGGGAACCCACUUGACCAAGGCCUUAGGAGCUUCUUCAAAUGCAUCAAUUUCCUCUUGAAGCUUGUCCUUGCCUUUUUGCUUGUGGUCUUGUGGUGGAAGAUCAUCUUGAGCUUGUGUCCCUUUGAAAGAAGCAGGAUCAUACUUCUCUUGUUGAGGAACAAACUUUGUCUUGGGGUAUUGAUCUUCUUCCCACUCAACUCCAUUGGCAUUGAACUUUCGUUCAAAACCAACACCUUGAUUCUUCCGGUGCCUUCCUUGCUUGCGUACAAUUUCCUCGAAUUGCUUACCUCCGGCAAGGCUCUUGUAAACACCUUUCUCUAUAAUUCCCUUCAAUAAGCUAUUUUCUUGCUCAAGUGCAACUUGGCUAAGAGAAUCAUUAGUGGAAUAAAGAGAACUACUAGAAGCAACAAUAUUGGAUUUAGCAUGAUUAUUGUUACUACUAGAGGAAGAAUCUUUCUUGUUCUUGUUACUAGACUUGACUUGAGGCAUGUAAGUGGAUAAGAGUAAACGCUUGGCAAUGUAAGAAGAACUUUUCUUGCGAAGAUCAUCAUUGAUUGCUUUUAAGAACUCAUGCUCUUGCUCAAGGUUGAGCUUUUCAAAGCGUAAUUUCUCAUGAGUCCUUAAAAGUUCUCGAUGAUCUCCUAAGAUAGUUUCAUGAGCUAACUUAAGAGUGUUUAGUUCUUUAGUUAGAGACUCAAUCUUCUCCUUAUCAUUGUCAUUCGUUUUAUCUUGAUUAGCAUGAUUAAUUGACAUUUUAUCAUAGUAUUCAUCACUAGACUUGUCAACAAGUAAAUCAUCAUCACCUAACAAGUCAUCUUCAUCACUAUUGAAAUCAACAUACUCGGGGUGUGAUACCUUUGGGCCUUUAGCCAUGAAGCAUAUUCCAACUCCUUCAUUUGGUGAGUCAAAUAUGUCGUAGGAGUUGGUUGUCACAAGUGCUAGACCGGCAACACCUUCAUCUUGAGUAUAUUCAGAGUCGGAGUGAUAGCUUCUCUCGGAGUGGUUGUCGGAGUCGGAGCCAGAUACCCAUUCACCAACAUGAGCUUGAUGUCUUCGUUUUGUGUAGCUCCUUGAUGACUUGUCCUUUCUUUCCGAAUCCUUGCUUCUCCGUGAGGGUCUUCGUUCAUAACGAUCAUCUCUACUCCUUCUUUCUCUAGAUGGUGAUUCUUCUCUUCUACUUCUUCUCUUGGGAGAAUCUUCUCUUCUCUUAUAGGGGGCUGUACACUCAUUGGAAUAGUGUCCGGUCCUUCCACAAUUGUAGUAGUUUCUCUCUCGACUAGAAGAUCUUUUGUCAUUGUAGGACCUUGACUUGGAGCUUCUCUCUUUGCUUCUACUCUUGUAGAACUUGUUGAAGUUCUUCACCAUUAAGUUCAAUUCUUCAUUGAAGGUUUGUUUCUCACUUGAUGAUGUGGGGGCUUCACAUGAGGCUUUAUAAGCACCACUUGAUUUGUUGUGAAGUUCCUCUUUAUCCUUGAGUGACAUCUCAUGAGCAACAAUUCUUCUGAUGACUUCCGUUGGCUUGAGAUCUUUGUAAUUGGGCAUCAUUUGGAUCAAUGUGCACACGGUAUCAUAUUUUCCAUCCAAGGCUCUUAGGAUCUUCUUGAUGAUGAAUCUAUCGAUCAUCUCUUCACUCCCUAAGCCGGCAAUCUCAUUUGUGAUAAGAGCAAGCCUAGAGUACAUUUCAGCAACACCUUCACCAUCCUUCAUUUUGAACUUGUCAAGUUGACUUUGAAGCACAUCCAAUUUGGAUUCCUUGACGGAGUCGGUACCUUCGUGCAUAUCAAUCAAAGUAUCCCAAAUUUCCUUUGCAUUCUCAAGACGGCUGAUUUUGUUGAAUUCUUCGAGGCACAAUCCAUUGAAGAGGAUAUCACAAGCUUGAGCGUUGUAUUGCAGCAUUUUCAACUCUUCCGCGAUGGCUUCACGGUUCGGUUCUUUCCCGUCAAAGAAUUCACCUUGCAAGCCAAUACACACAAUAGCCCAAAAGGCGAGGUUAUGUCCAAGAAUAUGCAUUUUCAUCUUAUGCUUCCAACUAGCAAAAUUAGUGCCAUCAAAGUAAGGACCUCUACGGUGAUAAUUUCCCUUGCUAGACGCCAUACUCUCCUAGGUUGUGAAACCAAGGCUAUGACCGCCAAAAGCUAUGGAAAUCAAAGCAAAUGGAGACAAAAGCUCUAAUACCACUUGUAGGAUCGAAAGUAUGCCUAGAGAGGGUGAUUAGACUACUUGACCAAAUAAAAAUCUAGCCUUUUCCCAAUUUUAGUUCUUGGCAGAUUUUAGCUAUCUUAGUACAAGUCAAGCAAUCUCCGCACAAUUCAAGCAAGCAUGCAAAAGAGUAUAUGAGCAGCGGAAAGUAAAGCAUGCAACUUGCAAGAAUGUAAUGGGAAGGGUUUGGAGGAUUCAAACGCAAUUGGAGACACAGAUGUUUUUGUCGUGGUUCCGAUAGGUGGUGCUAUCGUACAUCCUCGUUGAUGGAGACUUCAACCCACGGAGGGUAACGGUUGCGCGAGUCCACGGAGGGCUCCACCACGAAGGGUCCACGAAGAAGCAACCUUGUCUAUUCCAUCACGGCUGUCGCCCACGAAGGACUUGCCUCACUAGCAGUAGAUCUUCACGAAGUAGGCGAUCUCCUUGCCCUUGCAAACUCCUUGGUUCAACUCCACAAUCUUGUCGGAGGCUCCCAAGUGACACCUAGCCAAUCUAGGAGACACCACUCUCCAAGAAGUAACAAAUGGUGUGUUGAUGAUGAACUCCUUGCUCUUGUGCUUCAAACGAUAGUCUCCCCAACACUCAACUCUCUCUCACAGGAUUUGGAUUUGGUGGAAAGAAGAUUUGAGUGGAAAGUAACUUGGGGAAGGAUAGAGAUCAAGAUUCAUAUGGUUGGAAUGGAAUAUCUUGACCUUAACACAAGUGUAGGUGGUUCUCUCUCAGAAAAUGUGUAUUGGAAGUGUAGGUAUGUUCUGAUGGCUCUCUCCACGAAUGAAGAGUGGGUGGAGGGGUAUAUAUAGCCUCCACACAAAAUCUAACCGUUACACACAAUUUGCCAAACUCGGUGGGACCGGAUGGUUAAACUCGGUCGGACCGAUUCAUUAAACCUAGUGACCGUUAGGAUUUUCGGUGGGACUGAGAUGCAACUCGGUAGGACCGAUAUGGUUAGGGUUAGGGCAUAACGUAAUCUCAGUGUGACCGAUUACACAAACUCGGUAGGACCGAUUUUGGUAAUAAGCUAACCAGAGAGUUGGUCAGGUAAACUCGGUGGGACCGAUUCGCUCAUCUCGGUGAGACUGAAGUGUUACAAAAGGGAAACAGAGAGUUUACAUUGCAAUCUCCGUGGGACCGAUCGCUCAUCUCGGUAAGACCGAAACAUUAUGAAGGGAAACAGAGAGAUUACAAUCCCAUCUCGGUGAGACCGAUUUGCCUAGGGUUUGUGGCAGUGGCUAUGACAUUUGAAACUCGGUGGCGCCGGAUAGAAAGAAUCGGUGGGGCCGAGUUUGACUUUUGGUUUAGGUCAUAUGUGGGUGUGGGAAGGUAGUUGAGGAUUUUGGAGCAUAUCACUAAGCAUUUUGAGCAAGCAAGCCAUUAAGCAACACCUCAUCCCUCCUUGAUAGUAUUGGCUUUUCCUAUAGACUCAAUGUGAUCUUGGAUCACUAAAAUAUAAAAUGCAGAGUCUUGAGCUUCAAGCUUGAGCCAAACUUUUUGUCCUUAGAAUUUUGAGGGAUCUACUUUCCUCAUCCAUGCCAUGCCAUUCAUUGAGCUUUUCCUGAAAUAUUAAUCUUGGAAUAAUGUUAGCUCAAUGAGCUAUAUGUUGUUAGGAAUUACCAAAACCACCCAGGGAUAGUUGCACUUUCAAAGUGGUAUUGGUAAGAUUUAGCUGGUCAGAUCUUACCUCUUAAGUCCUGGGGGGUAGUCACUGGGGUACUUCAUCUGGGCCAGAGCCUGCACCAUGUCGGCGGCGGCAGCGGAGGCGAGGUGUUCCUCCGGGACAACACGCACAGCGGCCAUCGCGCCAUGAACCGCCAUCAGCUCCUGGCGGGGGAGAUUUGGAGGCAUGAGGAUGUUUCGCAGGCGCCAUUUAAGCAAUCAGGCGGGGGACGUGAUAGAGAUCGGUGGGUUACCUGACUAGAUCCGAGCAGAACGUAGAUGUGGUUGCGGCGGCGGUGGUUUGAGAUGCCGAUAGGGGGAGGCGCGAGGGAGGGGGAAUACUGAGGGGAAGGGGAUGUGGUUGGAGGAAUAAAUUCUGAAAUCACGCGCCUAAUGAAAAUUUCGGUGCGAAAUUUGAAACUUGGGCGGGGGAAACACACAACGCAGACGAAGUGCAUAAAAUACUCGUGUGCGAGAAAAAAGAAAGUUGGCAGAUCCCGUCUCCAAAAAAUGUACACGUGUACUUGAUUUCUUUCGGUCAAUGAUACACCUAGUUUAUUAGGAAAUAUCGCACAUGUAACUGACUUAUGGGUCAUUAACGCAAAAAACGCAGACGGGUACGGCAUAGAAACCGUGUGUUUUGUGAUCUUCUAAUGAUUAACGCAAAAAAAAACACGGGCACACAUGCUAAUCAACGCUCAAAGCCCUCAAAGGAUGCUCUUACUGACAUUGUACGUUAAUACUACAAACUUAAAGUACCACUGGUAAUUUGCUCUAAUACUACAAACUUAAACUACUUCUCAUAUGCUGCCAUCAGGGCAUGCUGGCCAGACGCCGGCUUUCUCCUUCCCGGCCUUGUAGGCGGCAGCCCACCGUGCUUCGAUCUCCGCCAAGGUCUCCUCACCACGGUGUGCGGCCUCUUUUUUCUUGCAGCGGCGGGACUCUCUUUUCUUGAUUGCUUUCUGCCUUUUCCGCUCCUUCUGUGCGGCUUGGGCUGCCUCUAGAUCCACCACCCAUUCGGCCAUGGCAGCCUCAAAGUCCGCCCAUGUAACUGUCUGGCCGCCGACGGCGAUGAACUCGGCGCAGCGACAUGCCAUCACUUCCUUACCAUGUGUGCGGUCGCAGGCGGCGAGGAACACAGUGCGACGGGAUGCCAUCACUUCCUUACCAGUUACUGUGUGCUGCCGUGCCAUGGACGACGCCUGGAGAGAGCUCUGAGACGGAGGCGCCGGGCAGCCGUACAGUGCGGUGGUAUUCAAGAGCUCAACCACAAACAAUAAUAGAAAUUUGGUUUCCCUUACAAUUUUGCUCGUUCAUUAUCGCACACGGUUCAUCUCCGUCGCUUUCAGAAACAGUGUGUGCUGAUCCUAUUGUGUGUUGUGUUAUGAUUGGCUGGAACCCCAGCCACGCGUAUCGCGCAUGUGCACCGUUGGAUGCGCCGCGAUUGAAUGGUGAUCCACUUCCCUCACAUCACACCCGUGCACCUGUAGCUGGAUUGGAUUUAUAUGCGCUAAAUGCCUAGAAAAUGCACACAAUCCCCUAAAUAUGGUAAAUGAGCCCGGAAAAAUGCCAAAUUUGAACACGGUGAUUUGUAGGGUGUAUGUUCGUCGUAGAAAAAAACUCCAGGGCAAAGAACGAAGAAAAUUUGGAUUCCCCUUCAAUCUUGAGGAUUUCCCUUUCGAAAGCGUGAAACUUCCUCGGUGAUGGUUCGAUUUAUGAAGGGCGUGCAUGACAACAUAAGCCAAACCUUCUCAGAUUUUCACCAAGGCAUGGUGAGGUCAUACCAUGGAACCAUGCCAGGCGUCAUGUUUUUUAAGCAUUUAUUUUAUUUUUUCUAUAGUUGAAAACCCAACAAAUAGACAUUUGUGGUUGACUAUUGCCACACAUUUCAUCGAAAUAUCUGUUCAUUCCUUGUAAAAGGCAUGAGAAUUUACUAAAUGGCACGAGCAUGGUUUUCUAGGCCGUUCUUGUGGACCCUUUCAUGCAUUGAUUGUUUGAACUUGAAUUAUGCGCAUUAAUGCCUAGGAAAUGCACAUAAUCCCUUCAAUAUGGCAAAUGAACCCGGAAAAGUGCCAAAUUUGAACACGGUGAUUUGCAGGUUGUAUGCUCAUCAUAAAAAAACUCUUGGACAAAGGACAAAGGAAAUUUGAUCCCCCUUCAAUCUUGGUGAUUCCCCCCUCGAAACCAUGAAACUUCCUCCGUGAUGGUUCAAUUUAUGAAAGGUGCGCAUCACGACAUAAGGAAAACAUUCUCCAAUUUUUACCAAGGCAUGGUGAGGCGAUACCAUGGCACCACGCCAGGCGUCAUGUUUUCCAAUCAUGUGUUUCAUUUUUUGUAUAGUUGUUAACCGAGUAAACAACGCAUUUAUGGUUGACUAUUGCCACACAUUUACUUGAAAUAUCUGCCCAUUCCUUAUAACAGACAUGAGAAUGUGCUAAAUAACACGAGCAUGGUUUUCCAGACCGUUCUUGUGCACCUUUUCAUGCACCAAUUGUUCGAAUUUGAAUUAUGUCCAUUAAUGCCUAGAAAAUGCACAUAAUCCCCUAAAUAUGGUAAGUGAGCCCGGGAAAAUGUCAAAUUUGAACACGUUGCAUUUGAGGCGGUAUGUUGAUCGUUGGAAAAAAACUGAAUGACAAACUAGGACGGAAAUUAGGAUUCCCCUUCAAUCUUGGGGAUUUCCCCUCUCGAAAGCAUGGAACUUCCUCGGUGAUGGUUCGAUUUAUGAAGGACGUGCAUGACGACAUAAGCCAAACCUUCUCAAAUUUUUACCAGGGCAUGGUGAGGUCAUACCAUGGCACCAUGCCAGGCGUCAUGUUUUUUAAACAUUUAUUUCAUUUUUUCUGUAGUUGAAAACCUACAAACAGACAUUUGUGGUUGACUAUUGCCACACAUUUCAUCGAAAUAUUUGUCCAUUCCUUGUAAAAGGCAUGAGAAUUUACUAAAUGGCACGAGCAUGGUUUUCUAGGCCGUUCUUGUGGACCCUUUCAUGCAUCGAUUGUUUGAACUUGAAUUAUGCGCAUUAAUGCCUAGGAAAUGCAUAUAAUCCCCUAAAUAUGGCAAAUGAACCCGGAAAAGUGCCAAAUUUGAACACGGUGAUUUGUAGGUUAUAUUCUCAUCAUAAAAAAAACUCUUGGACAAAGAACAAAGGAAAUUUGGACCCCCCUUCAAUCUUGGUGAUUUCCCCCUCGAAACCAUGAAACUUCCUCGAAUGAUGGUUCCUUUUAUGAAAGGCACGCAUCAUGACAUAAGGAAAACAUUUCUCCAAUUUUUACUAGGGCAUGGUGAGGCCAUACCAUGGCACCACACCAGGCGUCAUGUUUUCCAACCAUGUGUUUCAUUUUUUGUAUAGCACGAGCAUGGUUUUCCAGACCGUUCUUGUGCACCUUUUCAUGCACCGAUUGUUCGAAUUUGAAUUAUGUGCAUAAUUAAUGCCUAGAAAAUGCACACUAUCCCCUAAAUAUGGUAAAUGAGUUCGGAAAAAUGUCAAAUUUGAACACGUUUCAUUUGAGGCGGUAUGUUGAUCGCUGGAAAAAAACUAAAUGACAAACUAGGGCGGAAAUUGGAUUCCCCUUCAACCUUGGUGAUUUCCCUCUCGAAAGUAUUGAACUUCCUCGGUGAUGGUUCGAUUUAUGAAGGGAGUGCAUGAAAACAUAAAUCAAACCUUCUCAGCUUUUAACCAGGGCACGAUGAGGCCAUACCAUGGCACCAUGCCAGCCGUCAUGUUUUUCAAGCACAUAUUUCAUUGUUCUAUAGUUGAUAACCCAGUAAAUGACGCGUUUGUGGUUGACUAUUGCCACGCAUUCCAUUGAAAUCUCUGCCCAUUCCUUGUAAAAGGCUUGAGAAAUUACUAAACACCACGAGUAUGGUUUUUCCAGAACAUUCUUGCGCACCCUUUCAUUCACCAAUUGUUUGAAUUUGAAUUAUGUGCAUUAAUGCUUACAAAAUACACAUAAUCCCCUAAAUAUUGUAAAUGAACCCGAAAAAGUGUCAAAUUUGAACAUGGUGAUUAGCAGGGUUUAUGUUCAUCGUAGAAACAAACUCAUGGAUGAAGGACAAAGGAAAUUUGGAUUCCCAUUCAAUCUCGGUGAUUUACUAUCGCACAUGAUUCAUCUCCGUCGCCUCUGCGAACCGUGUGUGUUCACUCACACAUGCAAAAGGAAAAGAAAACCCUCGCCCACUUCGUCCCCACUCACUCGCCGCGGACUCCUCCGCAACUCUGCACCCUAAGCUCGACGGCCGUUGGCGGCGGGCGUAGGUCGCACUCCAAACAACACCGGAUUUCGCCUCCACCGCUUUCCGCCGCCUAUUUGCACCGACAUUCUAGGCUCUAGUCGAUUGGGUUUUUUUUGCGGGAUUGGGCUGGGGAUUUUUCUCAUGGAGAAGGUAAUCAACUUAAUUAGCAAAAUAUUCACUCAUCUCUUAUCGCAGUCCGUCCGUCGUUGUUAAUCAACCGACGGAAAUCCCCGUGGAAUCAUUUUUUUUCUAGCUGAUUCGUUGGUGUUCAUUCAUGUGUGCACAAUGCAAGCACAAAUUGGACAAUUGUGGUCGUGGCCAGUCAGAAACGAAGUUCUAUCUCACCAUUCCGGAUGACUUCAGGGAGCGCUCGGUAUGUUCAAUCUCAACCUACCACGGUCGGCAUGGCCUAAAUUUGUGAACAUAUAUCGUCUAUCGCUACAUUAUCUAUAUAUUUGCAUCAAAUCUUUGUUACAUUAUCUAUUUAUAAUUCUAUAUUUUUGUACUUUGCUUGCAUCUAUAUAUGGAUAUGUUCUAUUGGUUACUCCCACAUUUGCAUCUUGCUUGGUUAUUUUAAUAUAUCUAAUUUACGAUCUUAAUUUUCAUUUCAAGAAGUAUAUCCCUUUCUUUGCAAGAACAGGAGUAGAAGGAAAUCUUGGGCUUUACUAUGCCGAUGACUCCCAAGAUGUCAUUUUGACAACACAACAUGGAUUUACAAUGACGUUAGCAUAAAACUUGAUAAAGAUGGUCAUUCCUAUUUUAAUGCGGACCUUUGGAGAAAAAUGUCUAAGUGUUAUGAACUGAAAGCUGGCAAUAAAAUUCUAGUGCGUGCACCACAACCUGGUCUAAUUAACAUGGAUGUUUACUUCCCCAAUGUCAUCAGCCGAUCAAAGUUUGAUUUAGGUUAGUGUCCUUUCAACUUUCUCCAUGCUGUCAUAUUACUAUUUAAGCAACCAAAUGAUCACUAUUGAAGCAACCAAUUGUGAUAUCAUAUUCUGACUCUGUUCCUAGGCAGUAACAAAUUCUGUUUACCAAUUUAUGCACACUAUAUAUUCUUCUGCCAUGUUCUGAAUAAAUAAUACCUUUCCACCUUUUAAGCAGGAUAUGUUGGAUGCAUAGUGAACGAUAUGUAUGUUACUAAGCGUAUCAAAUUUCACUGGAAGGACUUGAAGCAUGUCAUAAACGUUGUUGAUAAUCUGACAGAGAUAGCACAACGUAUGAAUGCUGGAUUUUGGAUGGGAUUAAUUAGACCUAUGGUGCACACACUGAACAAGACCAAUUGUGUGCACAAAGCGCUGGUAAAAAGUCUUAUUAUAAUGUUGAUGCUCAUAAACUAUAAAUAUCUUCAACGAUAUGUUACAAUUGUUUUUUAUUCUACAUGUCAACAAAAAUUGCCCCCUGUAGCCAUUCCUGGAUCGAUUUCCCGACGUGGUCGAAUUACACUUGUGUCUGCUAAUAAAGCCAAAGUGAUUGCAAGGUACUACAUUUCCCGCAAAAAUGGAACCAUUCAAAUUAACAAGUUCUCGCUUCUCGUGGCAAUGCAUCCAUAUUGGAAAAUUGGAGACACUGUUCUACUCCUGCUAUACCAAGGCACAGGAGGGCUCUUCCUUUUCAUUGACGAGAUGCCGAGUCGCCGUGAUCAAGCUGCUUCCAGUGGAUAGUUGUGGUUGUUGGCCCUCAGCCUCUUAAAAUGUGCUAGUUGUUACUAUAUAUGUUAAGUAUGUAGAUAUGGACCAUAUGGUUGUUGGCCCUUAGCCUCUUAAAAUGUGAUAGUUGUUACUAUGUUAAGUAUGUAGAUAUGGACCAUAUGGUUAUCAAAACCGUGUUACGAAGAUCCUCCUUUUGUCGAAUAGUGUAACCACUAUAUAUAUGUUACUCAAAUAUUGUUAUCCAAGUUCAUAAAUUUUCAUGAAAAGUAUUAGUAUUGUACACAGUUCAUUGAGUUUAAGUGUGUGCCCGAUGUCCAGAAGGCAUUUGCAUAUUGACUGUCCAUAUUGCAAAUUCACACACAUGUUCACAUAAGGAAACGUAUGUGUAACAUACUAAUCAUCGCACACGAGUACUCGCAGACGCAUCGUGUGCGAUACUCCUAGCCACCGCAAGCAACUAGUUUGCAUUUCUCAAAGUUUUUUGUACACAAAGAAUCACACACGAAGUAACUGUAUUAACCGUCUGUGUUGUAAUUUCUCAUCACAAACAGUUCAUCUGAGUCGGCUGUUUGCCACGUAUCACACACAUCUUGUUUACAUGACUCGUUUGUGUUCUUUUGGCUCAUCACAAACAGUUCAUCCAUGUGAACUAUAUGCUGCAUAUCACACACAUCUUGUUAAGUUGAACCGUUUCUGUUGUGUUCCCUAAUCGAAAACAGUUCGUCCGAGUUAACCGUAUGCCGUAUAUCACACACACAUUGAUAUGGCUACCCGUUUCUGUUGUUCUACCUCAUCGCAAACAGUUCGAAUGGAUUAACCAUGUGUCCUGCAUCGCACACACAUUGCUAUGGCUGCCCAUUUCUAUUGUUCUGCCUCAUCGCAGACAGUUUCAAUGGAUUAACCAUAUGCGCUGCAUCGCACACGCAACUAAAAUCUUAACCGUGUUUGAUGCACCCAUCAUCGCAAAUGUUUUGCACCUUCUUUGACGAUUUUUUACACCACCGUUUGCGAUUAUUGCAUUGCACACAGUUUCAGUGAAGGGUCUCUGAUCAUAGUGUCACGUUAGCAGUCUCCUGCAGUAGUGGAUGGACAGACCCAAUCUAAUCUUAGUAUCAGCUCAGGGGUCCUGGGAUCCUGUAGGAGCAGUGCCAAGUGCUUCAUCUUCACGGCUUGCACACGCCAAAUCUGUGUAAAAGGCAUAAAGUCGGCCAAUGUUCGCAAGAAAAAGAAAUGGUGGAAAUACACUUAACAAACUAAGAGUGGAGGUUACCUUGGCAAUAGGCUUGGCAUGACUUAAAUCAAAGUCUUCGGACAUGGAGGGAAAGGUGUUCUUCUUGGGCUUGAACAGAAGCCUCCACAUCUUGCCGAGGUCCACUCCUCGGAAAAACUCUAGAUCACCGCCCCGUCUUCCGACUUGUACUCCCACAUAGGAGCAGCUCAGAUCUGGAGUGGAAGAAUGUGGCGAUGGAGUAUCACAUGGACUAUAUACAACAACUGGACACCCAUGCCAACCACGGCCUUGAGCUUGCCCUAAAGCGCCUUCACUUCCUUCUAGUUCCCCCAGUCGAGUCCCUUGUCUGUCCAAGAGAACAACCUCCUUGGUGGCCCAGCCGAGAAGACAUGGACCUCUCCUUGAUUCUCCGAGGAUUGGUCGGCCGCAUAAAACCAUUCUUGUUGCCAGAGCUUCACCGCCUCGACAAAUGUGCCCUCCGGUCAGAUGACAUUGGUGAGUUUACUGAUCAUGGCCCCACCACAAUUUGCAAGCUGAGAGCCACAACCCAAAGUGUGGUUCGAUGCGAUCCCAUACAAAAGAUUAUGAAUGUGGAGAUGUGGAGAAUCGAGUUUGGGGCGAGAUGGUGGAAAUCCAGCCCAUCAUAAAACAUGAGAUCCCGUACAAAAGGAUGAAGGGGGAAAACCCAGACCUCGGACGAGGUGGGAAACAAAGAUUACCCACUCCCCUUUGUGAGGGGUGGGAACGACAGAAGUCGAGCGGUUGCGCCCGCCUCAACAGGGGAUUGACACCUGACCCUAAGGGGAAGAUAUCCAUCAGCCCAGAGCAUCGUGAUGGUGUUGGUGAUGACAUUAGAAUGCAUCCACUUCCCUCCCUUUCCGGCCAUCUUUGAUAGUGGGGGAGAAGAAGGGAAGAGUUGUAGCUCAAAAUAGAUCUCAGAGCCAUUGGCUUGCAUGAGGUUCUUGCCAUUGGAGCAAGCUGCAAUGGGAGCGUAGGUGGAAUCAAUUCACCGUUUCCCUUUUUAUAGGUCAGUCAAAGAUCAGGGUCGCUUCACCUCAAAAUGAAGGCGUCAUUCCCCAAAACAUUGUGCAGUAUAUGUGACAGAUAUUAAGGUGUUAUUUCAUUAAUGAUAUCACUAGAAAUCCGGGGCACGAUCUCUUUUGAUGAGGCGUACCAAUGGAAACGGGUUGGGGCCAUGUCACACCCAAUAAUGUCUAUUGACGAGAUGGUCUUGAAGGAAAUAUGCCUUAGAGGCAAUAAUAAAGUUGUUAUUUUAUAUUUCCUUAUAUCAUGAUAAAUCUUUCCCUAAUAAUAAAGUAUGGAUUGACUCCGUGAGUUCACCGUCAUAAUACGCUUUCGCCCAGUCGUAAUAUGCUUUUAGGAUUCGUAUAGACAAAAUCGUAAUAUAAACGAGGUGGUACUAAUAGCAUGAUGUUAGCACGUUUUCACCGUCACGUCCUUUCUACACAAAGGUCGCUGAACUAUUUAGUACUCCCUUCAUUUCAAAAUAUAGUGUGCCCACGCUUCCUGAGGUCCAACUUUGACCAUAAAUUUAACCAACGAAACCGACUGCGGCGGGAGAAAAAAAUUGUAUAAUUGAAAACUUCUUUCGAAUACGAAUUCACUGAUAUAACUUUUGCUCCCGCCGCAAUCGGUCUUGAUAGUUAAAUUUACGGUCAAAGUUAAAGCACGAGAAUAGAGGAAGCACUACAUUGCAGAAUGGAGGGAGUAAUUCGGCCCGCAGUCCUCAUAUUAACUGAACCUGGAGCGGUACGAGUGAUAGAAUAGAAAAACAAACCCAGCCUUCCUCUCGAUCUCAUCUGGACAUCCAGCCCAGCCCCGCCCCGCCCCUCACAGCCGGCCGCCGCCGCCUCCUACCCCGCCGCCGCGCCUACCCCUACACCAAGUGCCAACACACCCGCGCCCAUCCACUACCGGGGACCCGCGGCCUUCUACCGCCGGCGGCACUCGACGUCGCGGCAAUUGGCGGCUCCCCGACCUUGCUACCAUGGCGCCUCCGGGGCUCCUCCCCGCUGCUUCCACCUUGACAUUGGUUUCCCCAACCCCGCUGGCUUCGCCACCAGCCACUCCUUCUAGGCACACUCUAUCUGCCGUCGGACCCAUCCGCCUGGUUCCAAUGGUGAACAUCGCCGCCACCCUAUUGUGAGGCGAGGUGAUGUUCUUCGAACUGCCGGCUUGAUUCUGCCUAGGUAAAUUCUUCUUUCUACUGUACCACUUCAUAGAAAAAUUUGACUGCCUAAAAGUUCCCCAAUUUGGUACACUUUUUUUAUCAGAGUGAGCUUUUCAACGGAAAUUAUACUUUGAUCCUAUCCAAUCUUACUGUGACAGUAAUAUAUUCCCCUUUCCUUUAUAUGAAGGGGAGCCUUGGCGCAGUGGUAAAGCUGCUGCCUUGUGACCAUGAGGUCAUGGGUUCAAGUCCUGGAAACAGCCUCUUGCAGAAAUGUAGGGAAAGGCUGCGUACAAUAGACCCAAAGUGGUCGGACCCUUCCCCAGACCCUGCGCAAGUGGGAGCUACAUGCACUGGGGCUGCCCCCUUUUUAUCAUGUUGUCAUUAUAUUGUAACCGUGUGCAAGUGUGUUCAGUUCAACUAGAUGUAACUCAUUGACAUAUGAGAUUCCAUUGGGCCUGAUAAUCUUGAAUUUUGCUUCACAAUUUAAAAUGUAGUAUUAGACCUAGAGUUUUUAUGUAUUACAGAACCUGUCCUAUAAAUAUGCCAGUUACAAAUAAAGGUGAUAUUGAUGUGGAAACGCAACACACAUGUAGUAGAUGAAUUGUAUGAAGUAAAUCGCCUUGGAAUGAUGGUUGCUGAAUGUUACAAUUAUAGUCAUCUACCUGGAUGACCUUCAAGCACCAAUAACUUAAUCCUUUUAGGUUUUGUUCUUCUUUCUUCAGUACAAACAUAAUAUUGUUUGGUGCUUCCCAAUACUUGGAUGUGAAAAAUAAAGAAGUUUUACAUUUUAAGAACUAAUAGAUUUUUAACAAGAAAAUAUGGUCCAAGUGGGACUACUACUUCUAAAUAUUUUGUCUUUCACAGAAGGGGAUAUCAUACUUCUCCUAAUCAGGAUUGUUGUGUAACGGAAUGAUGGUAGGAUGGUAAGUAACUACAUCCUUUUUUGGUAUGGCAAAGAAAAAAAAUACAUCUUACCCAUUAGAUGAUUUGCAUCUGCAGCUGAAUAAUAAUGGAAGAAAAAGGAGUACAGGCUUUACCUAAUGUACCUACAGCAACAAUGGGUUGCCCCACCAAACAUCACUAGAGGACUAGGAAGGAAAACGGUGAUUUCUCAAUCAGGUUCUAUUGGCCGUUCUAGCAUUAGCAUCAUGAAGAUUCUGGAACAGUGCACGACAUGCCCAAUCCCAAGGUCUUGCCUUAGCUGGUGAAGCACAUGAGCUGGUGUCAAGCAAUAUCCCCUGUAUACUUUGUCCUUGUGUUCUUUCCAGGUAUGCAUCCAUAUCAGCUGCAUCAGGGAGCUCCAUGCACAGUGGUACUACUUCCGAACGUGUAGAACAUGCAAUUGUAUGUAAAUCGCCUUGAAAUGAUGGUUGCUGAAUACUGCGUUAUGCUUGAUAGUCAUCUACCUGGACGACUUCAAGCGCUAAUAGGUAAAUCCUUUUAGAUUUUGUAGUUCUUUUCAGUACAGAGAUAAUUCUGUUUCUUGCUUCCCAAUUUUUGGUCGACAAAACAGAGAGGCUUUACAUUAUAAAAGUUACAGUAAUAGAUUAUAAGUAAGAAAAUAAGGUCCAAGCCAGACUCCAACUUAUAAAGGUUUUGUCUUUCACGUAAGGGGAUAUCAUACUUCAUCUAAUCAUGGUUGUCGUGUAACCUAAUGAUGGUUAGUUACUACAUCCAUAGAGAAAAUGAACAUGGAGAUAUUCUCAUGUCCAUAGUUUCCAGCGAUGAGAAUGGGCUACCCGACAUUGCUCGGCUGCUGAAACUGAGCAAACUUUGUGUAGUUAUUCAUGGUAGAAAUUCCUAGUUAAAUUAUCUAUUUCGCCAAAUUGAGAAACUGCAUACAUGCCUUCGUCAAUGCGCAAUCGAACAGCCGUCAGGUGGUGAUGAGAGGACUACUAAAAGCAAGGGAAACACACUUAAGUUUGCUAUCCACAGUUUCUUCAGAAUCUAAAUACCAGUGGCAUCACAAGUGGGCUUCUCAAUUAAUCCAAAAGACCCAUCAGGUUGCAAAGAUAAAAACAAUGAACAGAACAUAUCUGAAAGCGGCCCGAGCAUCCUCUACUACUUUCGUUUAGAUGUUAUUUAUCUUGCUGUGUUGACAUAUUUUCUUCUUCCGUAGAUGCAAAGCAUCCAGGAUGUGAUCAAUCAUAUGCUGGAGAAUGGCAUUGAGACCUUACUUCACUGGAUAAUGGCAUUUAUAUGCGAUUCCAGUCCUUUCACAGUGCAGGUGAACUGGAAAUUCUAUCAAAGACAACUGUCCUUUCUUCAGUGUACAUGCAUGAUAUUACAUGAUUAAACAUACCAUUUUUAACUUCAUUUAGUUGUCUAUAUUAUGCUCUAUGUGCUAUUACCAACAGAAAUAGUGUUACCUCCGUACCAGGCCUUCCAAAUAUCUUAUAUUUUGGUACGGAGGUAGUACUUUUAGCCUGCAAAGCGACUUCUAUGCCCAUUGUGGCAAUAAUGUGUUUGCACCACUGAAGAGAUAACUUAUUUUUUUCAUUGUAAGAAACACAUCAUGUUUCUUCCCCAUCAUUCAAGUGUGUGCCAUGUUAUCUUUGUUCAUGUUGCUGGCUGUACAUUUUCAGUAUUCUCAGGAUAUAUCUGAUUAUGAUGAUGUUCCGUACUGCUCUGGAGCCGGCAACUUUUUGGACUGCUCGAUGUUUAUAACCAAUGAGACUACUUUUUUGGUUGUUGGCUGGAGCUAUCACUAUGACUGAAAUUUUCUUUUCACCCAAGUAAAUUUAUAUGGUCAUCAAAAACCAACGACAGGUCAACACUUGUCAGCAGUUUGCAAUUUGUAUUACAGUAUGCCUAAGCCAAUGUUCAGACAAUGUUGUUUUAGUUAGGAAAUGUAGAAAACAUGGUCAUGAUUUAUGUAGAUUGGACAGUCCCUUCAAACUGCAGUCUUUGAUCUAGAGUGGACAAUCUAACUAUAUGUUUCCUUUUAGAAAAUGACUAUAUGUUCCAUGAAUUCACUGCUUAUUUUGGCCAGAUCAGAUUAAACUAGGUCUUGAUUUCAAGGUUCAGUUAAGGCAGUUGGUGCAGGUUUGUUUGCUGUAAUACUAACUGUGCUAUUUAGACAGAGACAUUUGCUCUUUCUCAUUCCUCGACAUUUUCCUUUGCUACCAAGAUUUUUCAUUCUAGGUUGUGGAAAACGCAUGUAGCGUUCCUUCUACAAGUCGUCAUGAGCUGGGACAUAGAAGAAGAGAGCCGACGAGAAGUCGCAAAGCGGUUCGCUCUGGUGUCGCUGCCAAUGGCGCUGCACAAAGUGCAGAUUGCAGGCUAGAUGCGUACAAAUCCGUCCCUACUUCCACGACGUGGAAGCAAAGGAAAUUUAGUCAAUUAGAUAGUAUAUUUGGUUAUGAAAGUUAUCUUUUGUGUAUGCAGUUUUGCCAUCAUUUUGUAAAAGCUUUGAGUUUUUUUAUAAUGUAAUUGUCUUACUAAUCACACUUUUAAUUGAUUUGUGCCAAGGCUAAUAGCCAAGUUAUGCACAAACUGUUCAUGUUUCCUUGAUGACUGCUAUUGUCAGAAGAUUCUUUUCAGCAUUUAAGUAAUACCGAUCCCACUUUCAGUUAUGUGUGCAAAGGCCAGUAGCAAAAUAAUGACUGCUCCUUGCUGGUCGGAUAUUUCCUACUUCCAGGAUAUCUCAUUAUGCUUUCCGCAGCAUGCUGAUUUGUGAACGAGAACCUACGUGAUCACCCACCCUGAUUUGUGAAUUCGUAGUCACAUUCAGACACUCAGGUAUCUCUACUCCUAAUGAGCAGUUUGUGAAUAGUCCGCGCGGUUUAUUUUUGCUGGUUUAUUUUCGUCAUCCUUCCAUCUCCGUUUUAUUUUCGUCAUCCUUCCACCUUUGCUUACUCGGUACCCUCCAGCGAAAUAAACCGGUGCCAAAAAAACCCUAGGAUCGAUCCCUCGUUCCCACAGCAGAUCGGUCUCCGCCGCCAACCAGACCUUCGCACGCCCGAUCCAGCCCUACGCCCCCUCCGUGGCCGAUCCAUCCUGUUCCGCGGCCGAUCCAUGCCCUAUGCCGCCGCCGAUGCCUCCUCCUCCACCUCCAUUCCCAAGCGACGGCGCCCGCGGCCGCAGUCUUCUCCCCUAGCCACCAUGGCUGCAGAUCCACUCACGGCCGGUCGUCUAAGCUGCAAGCAUGGAUGGAUGGAUCCAGGAAGGUAUCCUUCCUCCCUGGGUGGAGCGAGCUGCACAUCCCGUUCGGCCCUCUGGAGCCGGCCAUCUCCGCCUCCUCCUCGCCGUCGCCGCCGCCGGGGAUCGUGUCUUCACCAAGCGCGAGCUCCGCCCCAUCCGACCGACCGCAAAGGGGUGAGUUUUCUUCAUCCCAAAGCCUCCUGAUUUGCUUACUGCACUCUUGCCAUUCCGAUGGAGACUAACCUCCUCUGGCCGAGCCCCAACUCUGCAUCUCUCUCCCAAUUACCCUCACCCCGUCAGUUUGCUGCAGGUUAUCCAUUGUAAAUUUUCAAGGAAAUUCAAAUGUUCCUCUUCUGGCCGAUUGAAGGUAAUACUUGGUCCAAUUUUGCCACAAAAAAUAAUGCUAUCUUGUCAUAGUUAUACGUAUAUGCUUAUGAGAAUUUUCAUGUUUGUUAGAUUAAAAAAACUGUAUUUUCUCCUUUUAGCUAGUGGUUAAUUUAGCAGAGCAUUAGCAUAGUAUUGGUCUGAUCAGCGAGACGAUGAUCACGAAAUCAUGUUGAUAAUCAAAUCAGCAAAGAUAGUAGCAGUUUCCAGUGUAACUUGUUGUGUCCUCAAAUCAGCAAAGAUAGUAGCAGUUUCCAGUAGACCUUUUCUACUGCAAUAGGAGCUUCAGGCAGGGCAUUGAUGAUUUGACGGUGAUAUUGGUUAACAUAUUGAUUUGUUAAUAUUUUUUAAAUAUAAAAGUUAAAUGUAAUCUGCACAAGAGCCAAACCUGCAGAAGGUUAGAGUGCGUGCAGCUGUUUCAGAACCUAGGGAAAACUAGCCUAAUUGGUCUCUUUAAUAUUUAGUGAGUCUGUCCAUGGCACUUUUAGCUCUACUCACCACUAAAGAUAUCUACAACUUUCAUGUUGAACGCAUAGUUUAAUUCAAACAGUAACAUGGUCUAAGUCCGCAUACAAGGUUACUGUACACAGAAUCACAUAAAGAUUAAUUUUUGGACUGUGAAACUAAAUUGGACUGCUACUUUUAAACCGUACAUCAAAAUAGUGCAAAUAGAUAGUCUAUAGAAAGCAUGGGACGUAUCUCUCCUUUUUUUUGCGAUUGAUCUCCACAUUAUGUUUGGAGUCCAAGUCAAAAUUAUGCAGUUUUUGAUAGAGGAUUUGAAAAGACCGAAUCUGUUUAGUAGGUGGAUUACCCAAAACAGUUGACUUCAUCCAACCCAACCUCACAUCACUGUGUAAAGUUUGUAGCACUUAUUUUAUAUGCAGAGCACUUGUGAACUAGGAUUUUGACCAAAAGAUUUUGAGUGUUUUAUGUGAGCUUGCAUUGCAGGGAUACUUGAAGCUAGGGCAAUCCAAGUAAGAUAGCUUCAUCCUCAGGCAACAGGUUUAUGUUAUCUUAUCAUGGAGUCAUUUUUAAGUUUGUGCCCAACGCCUUCAUCCUUAGAAUGGCUGCCCAGAUGGCAAGCCACUGUACUCAGGCGACUGCCGCGCUAGGUAUUCUCGACCACUGCUGCAGUUUUUCAUUGCUGUGCUUAUUCCAUUUGCACCAACCUUGCUAUUUAGUAAUAUGAGCGUCUCUGUUUCUUCUACUACAAUGACAUGAUAAGAUUACCUUAUCCCUUUCAGCAGGGUGCUCCAACUUUUGAUGCCGGCGAAGCUUUUGGAAUGAUGGCUACAUAAUUUGUUAGUCUCCGGAAGCUUAAUUAAACUGAGGUAAAUAUGCCAGAUUCUUUUGUCAAAUAAUAACAUGACUGUCUAUUUUGUUCUCAGGACCAAUAUCUGUGCCUAUCAAUAAAAUUUUGAGAGUAGUUUUUGUUGCCUCUAUGUAACCCUGAUAGCAGCUUCUCUGAAGGUUCAGAUGUGUGGCAAAGGAUUUCAAUUUUCCCGUUUACACAAAGGAAACUUGAGGAAGGUUCAGAUUUCUCAUGCUCGGUGCUGUGCUCUCAAGGUUACAUAGACAAAAAUGCCUCCUAUUUACACAACGGCAACCCGACGAAGGUUCAGAUUUCUCAUGACUGGUUCAAUGGGUAUUUCAUGCCUGUGCCAUCUUAAUUAUUAGGAAAAUGUAGUUUGUUUUAUAGCUGACGAUGCUCGAUGCUUUUUUACCUCAGUUUAGUAAAUGCUUAGUUUUAGCUCAUAAACUACAUGGCAAAUAGGAUGACGGGGCGGGUCGGGAGGCGGGGAAAGCCGUCCAUGGCGAUCCUGGUGGCAUUGCUAAUGGCGCCAGUGGCACUGCCGCUCCUCAUGGUGCCCGACACGCUCUCUAUGCGAGGCUCCAACGGCGUGGAUCGCGGCGCCGCCCUGUCGCUCCCAUGCCCGUGCUUCAGCAGAUCCGUGUUUGAGUCAUGCAUACCUUUAGCUGCCUCCCCUCCAAUGUCCACGACUCUGAUAUACCGUGUUUGUUAGUCUUGACUGGUGUUUGUUCUCCGUAUUGUUGUGCAGGAGGCUGGAGAACAGCAGGGAGAAAAGGGAGUCGUGGAUGGAGGUUCUGUACUUCUGUUGUAUCAACAUCUUCUCCAUGAGUCUUUUGCCCCCACUCUGUUUUUGCUUUGGGCCGAAACGUCAUCGUCUUGAUUCUUUACGUGGUUCAUUGGCUCAGACUUGUCCUACAUGGCCGAGCGAGAUCGAGGCUAGCCGCCGGUAAUGUUCUUCUCCCGUGCAAGUUCCGCACUGCAUUGAAGCAUCCAACACAUGGUGAGACAUCUUUUUAGCUUUUAAAAAACGUGCACCAUCCUUUCUCAUCCAACAUAUUUUUCACCCCUGAUUUGUGACCUCCUAAUGAACAUGAAGAUUCAUAUGCUAGCUAGAACACAAUAUAUAUUUGAAAGCAACAUUUUCUGAUGUACUAUCCGAUGAAAUUUUAUUUUCGGAGACGUUCAUUCAUAAUUUUGACGACCUCUUGAUUCAUGUCAUUAGUAGUUAUUUCAACAGAACAAAGAUAUUUUUUAGCACUUUUCAGAUAGGAAAUAUCCCUACGGAAUAUUUUGGACAAUAUACAACAUAUUCUGUGGGCUUGAAGAAAAUAUAUAACAUGAUAUGUCACAUACUUUAUUGUUAAGUUACAAGAAUAGUUGUGGACGCCAUCCAAUUUUACAUAGAUUUCUAUUUGUUGUGCACUGAUAUUUUUGUAGUGUGAUGAUAUAAAGAAGGAAUGUACAUUAUAGGGUGUUUGCUACGUGCUACAUAUAUCUUACUCAAUAGCAGUUAGUCAGCUUAUAUUCCAGUAAUGAGAAAUGGCACAAUCAUCUCGUGCCAUUUCGUGGGAGCAGUAGAAGUGACAUCUAUGCUAUGGUCUGAAGUAGAAGUGUAGACCACUAAUUGUAUGCUAUGGUCUGAAGUAGAAGACAUUAAGGUGGUUCAGCUAUCAUCCGAGCAUUCAAAUAGGCAAUGUUCUGUCCGCUAGAACGCAUCAAGUUUUUGGUUGAUGUUCAUACUUUUGCGUAAUGUUCCUACUUUGGCUGCGCAUAGAUGUAGCUACGUUACAGGUGGGACAUCAGCCAAGUAUGUUUCGAGGUGAGACAUCCAUCAAGUUUGUUUGGAGGUGAGACAUCCACCAAGUUUGUUUGAAGCAUGUGCAGACCUUCUCACAGAUGUUUGUUCAUAUAUAAAAUUGACUAUUCCAAAUAGUACACUGAUAAUUUUGCCGAACGAAUCUUAUUUGAAGCAAAUAAGGGCCUUAGAAGAAAAUAAGAAAGUAAGUUCCCCUUGCACCGUUGCACGUAUUUAGUAGAUUAAAUAUGUUUUUCCUAAAAAAGAUUUUUUUAUGAAUGUUUGUGUUUGCAAGCACUUGUUUGAAAGCCAUUUACACUUACUUUUGGAUGUACCUCCUGUUUUUGAAGUGAAGGCCAUUUACACUUACUUUUGGGUGUACCUCCUGUUUCGAACCCAUUAACUUAGAUUCUGUUUUAAUUUGUGGAUAUAUAUUCCUUCAACCAAUUGUUCUUCGAUAUUCUGAUGGUUAUAAGAAAAAUGUAAGUUCUUGUUUAGGAUUUACAUUGAGUAAAAGUCAACCUUGCUUAGCGUUUCAAUUGAAGAAUUUGUAACAAAAUGCUCAACAGUAAGGAAAAGUGUGUUUCGUUUGUUGUGUGUAUCUGAUUUGAUUAGCACCUGAAAUCUUGUUGAACUGAUAAGGUUGUACAUUUUCCAAAUUGUUUGUCGGAAGGGUAAUUUCUUUUAUUGCUCAUGAACAGAAAUUGUGCAGUCCAGCUCCACUGUGUCCAGCUCAUCCGACCAUGUGAUCCACUACAUCUAGGUCAGCCGAUCUUGUGGCAGAGCUACACUGACGCAAGAGCAAAUAGUUUUACAAUUUCUUUGUUGUUCCUUUGUACUGGAUAACUGUGCAUUUUUAGAGGUGUGAAGAUGUAAUGCAAUAACAGUAACUGGGCGUAGGCACAUCCGUCUCGAUAAGCAUUAUGGGAACGGACAAAGGCAAGGCAUUCCAAUAUAAGAAAUGGAUGAAGGCAAG
rnacentral:lncRNA from 1 species